AGCGCUCAGGACGUUGUGUUUUUUUCAGUACAUGUUUUGUGUGUUUUCAAGUUCACCUACUUAACGAUAUUAUGUCCAAUUUCCCCUUUGUUUACAUGUUGUUCCUAUAGUACAAUAGGUGUUUCUGUUAUGCCUUAAUAAGCACUUAAGAAAACCUUGUAUGGAUCGAAACUACCAUAUGCUCUAUUCUAUUCUUGUAAAUGAAGCUCCACUUCUGUUUUGUUUGAAGUUACUUGGCAUAAAAAUUAGUAUAUGUUUUAUUGUAAAAACAUAUAUAAAAUGUCUUGAUGAAUGCUAGCAGAAAUCUGAAAAUAAACUCAGCACAGUUCCUAUAUUUUAUUCAAGUUCGAAGCUAAACAUUUCUAACAAGUUAUCGCUCCUUGCAGGAUACACACUAUUCAUCGCAUUUGUCAUCGAGCGAUUGCACCCCUAUCUUCAGAAGCUCAUCACCAUGAGGAAAUCAUUCAACACCUCCCAGAGAGGAGGUUGAAAAAUUCCAAAUGGAGUUCAAACAUGAAUUUGAGAAAAUGAUUCCCCGGCUAAGUUCGAAAAAUGUCAUUCUGUGAAGUUCGGCUAUUCAGCCAAUGGUGGAGUUGCAAUUUUGUUUCUUAUGUACAUACAUGAAUUGAAUGUAAUCAACGAAAAGAAACAUAUGUUGAUUCUCCAAGUUAGAGUUCAUUUUUAUUUUCUUACAAAGUAGCAAAACUUCCUUUGUGGGUGAGUAUAGCUUAUGUGCGAUCUUGUGUUCACUAAUCUUGUAGUAUUGUUUUUACAGGGAUCUUUCUAGUACUUUGUAAAGAAAGCGUGAUCCAUUUGUAAAAAUAUGGCAAAAGACAUCCUUCACUCUUGCAGUCUUUUGCUAAAAAAUGUUUUAAGUUCAAUGGAUGCCAUCGAGAAAGUUUAAACAUUUGAUAUUCAUGUGCUCAUAUUCUCUAGAUGAACGUUAUUUUUUUGCGACUCGUCUCAUACUUUGCGAGAUGAAAAAAUUUCUCUCCAUGUUUUCUACUCUUUAUAUGAGUGGUGAAAAGUACAUGUAUUACUAGUAUAUAAGUUCAAACAACAAAUCACAAUCAGUUCCGUGAAAAUGCAAAGAAGUUCAAAAAAAAAUAUAAAAAAAUUCUAGAGUCAAGUUCAAGUGCUGAUCCAACACGGUUAAAAAAAAUCUGGUCCGUUCAUGUAUUACUAGCAUAUAAGUUCAAAAGAUUAAACGCGGUUAGUGCGUAUAUUGAAUUGAAGAAAAUUCUAAGAAAAAGAAACACAAAACAUUUCUCGGGGAAAACAUUCACCCAAUUCAACUACCAAAAGCAAGUAGGUGAUGAUGAUACGAUAGAAACACAUUUUAAAUUAAAAUCUAAAAGUAUCAUUUUAAUAUAGUUCAAUUGCUCAACCCUAUCAGACUGGAAAAUACCUCAAUACAAACACACACAUAGAUUAGUACGACUGCUCUGUUUUUUCUGACGAAAAAACAACACGAAUGGUGUAACUGUAUUCCAAAAUUACUCUUCCCCAGUUGCGAGUUCGGAUGCGGUGACGCCAUAAGUUCGAAUGAGAAGAAAGAAAACCUAAAGAGAUUUGCUACUAUAAGUUAAAAAGUUCGGAGCUAAGGUCAUGAUCAGUUAAAAAUGGUUAAAAAAGCUACGACGAAAACCAUAUCGAAAAACAGAGUAAAGUCCAAUAUGUGAAACUAGAUCGGUACAAACACAAAAAAUAGAUCAGUACGAGUACUUUGUUUUCGUCGAAAAACUAUUGUUUGAACUGAAUCGUCUGAAUCGAAGCACAGUGGCAUCAAAAACCAGUAAUUUCCAUGUCAAGGUCCAGUGUGGAUUUUACAUUUAUGAAAUGACUUUCACCCCAACAAACUAGCUUCAAACAACCUUUUAGCAUAAUGUCGUGCAUGUUAAACACCUACUGAUUUGGUUCGGCAACUUUUACUGAUGUCUAUGAUCGUACAACAGGUCAGAUUCCUAGCUGAAACAGAUUAGCAGCAAAAGUUUCAGCAAACAAACUCUUUUUUAGAUUGAACUGAAAAGAAACCCAAAACAUCCGGACAAGUUCAAGACUACUGCAAAUAAGAGUUUCUUGCCAAAGGAGAAGAGUUAGGAAGCGGAGGGGCUCUCACGAGGUGUCCCGGGGAUGACAACGACGACGUGGAGGCUCUAGCUACUGUUUUGCAGGUCGACGACGAGUGAGAAAAGCCGACCAUCGCAUGUGGGGAGGCACAUGACGAGGUUACCAACACCCAAGACUUGGACGACGUUCAGCAGCCUGGCAUCGUUCCCGGCGGAGGCAACCGACGUUGAAGUGCCGGAGCAGGAUGUCGUCCCCGGAUCCUCCCAAAAUCGAUUGAGUGCAGUCUCCUCCCGAGUCCCGACCCAUUCCCAUCCCCAGCCACCAGCGGCCCGAUGUGACCUAAGGCGCACCACAUACCUCUUGCCUCGUGCUUCCAUGGAGCGCAUGCCGGAGCAGCGGCCGCCAAAUCUCUCCGAUGCCGCCGGCGUCGAGGUCCGGCUCAGCGCACUGCCGGACGGCCUCCUCAUCCACAUCCUCCUCAAGCUCCGGGACGCCCCCAUCACCGCUCGGACCAGCGCCCUCGCCCCUGCUGGCGCCGCAUCUGGGCUCUCCUGCCGGAGCUCCACUUCCUCGCCGCCACUAACCCCAACGGCAUACGCGCCGCUCUCGCCUCCCAUGAUGCCUUGGACCACAACCACCUCUCCGUUGCCGCCAUCGAGGCCACCCCCAAAUCCGAAUCGACAGAAAACCCGUCCGGUUGGCCGUCCAAUAGCCGCGUCUGCCACAGGAUGGUCGUAGCUGCAUAGCUCGACGCGGAAUCCAUGGUGGCGUACCGGUGUCGGCCCGUCCAUGGCGGCGAGAUACUGGCGUAGGCGGCGCUUUGGAGGACCAGUACGACACCUACGCAAGGGAGGGGGGAUGGACAAGUGGUCGCAUUCAUCGACGCCCGAUGGUGGUGGAGGGAGACGCCAUGCCCGUCCUUGGCGUUCCAUACGAUUCGCGUUUGAAAAAUAAGUUCAAUGAAAAUAAAAGAUCAGUUCAACCGCUCAAAUUCAUCAGUACAAGUAGGAUAACAAAAUAAUAUUCUGUUACAGAUGUGUGUGUGUAUAUAUAUCAUGAAGCGAAUUGAACGAAAUAGUUAUGAAAUAGAAGCAACACAUAUAAUAAACAUAGUUAACAAAUUUCAUCGUACCGAAAGUAAUUAACUAGACCGCGGCACCACACAUCUAAUAGUUUCGUCGUACUGAGACAUUCGAAGUUUCGUCGUACAGAGAAAGUAACAAGUAACUAAACAGACACAUUGUUUUUAAGCAGUGCACUCUUCCCAUCUGUCCAUAUCCGGGAGGACGGACCCAAGCUUAGUGAAAGGCGUCAUGUCCUGAUGUUGUAGGAAAAUGCGGGUUCGGACGUUAGCUCGCGAUAUUUGGCCACCGUAGAACAUCCCAUUCUCUUCGAGGACAUCUUUCAUGAUGAUGGACGCAAUUUCCUACUGGAUCCGAUAGAAAUCAUUUCGAAGUCGAUUAUCCGACACGGCUUCAAAGGCUUCGGCCCAUCUUUGGAUAUGCGUAUCGGAUGAAGAUUUCAUGCAAAGUGAUUGCACAUCCCUUCUGUACUCCAUCAUUAGAUGGAUGAUGUAGAAUCCAUCGUUCUCACUUCUUGCCGGUUGCUGAAUGCAAUAGAAGUCAGUCAUGUGGCUGAAACAGACCCCGGCCUUUUUUUUUGCUUUGGAUGUAUCCACCCAGCAUGCUGAAGCCCAGCAUGGCUCUGUCCAGAACAUACUUUAUGUGUGUGUAAUCUUUCUUUUGUAUGUUCUUUGACGGGUCCAAAUNNNNNNNNNNNNNNNNNNNNNNNNNNNNNNNNNNNNNNNNNNNNNNNNNNNNNNNNNNNNNNNNNNNNNNNNNNNNNNNNNNNNNNNNNNNNNNNNNNNNNNNNNNNNNNNNNNNNNNNNNNNNNNNNNNNNNNNNNNNNNNNNNNNNNNNNNNNNNNNNNNNNNNNNNNNNNNNNNNNNNNNNNNNNNNNNNNNNNNNNNNNNNNNNNNNNNNNNNNNNNNNNNAUUAUUGAAAUGCACGAAAGGAUGUAUGUGUUAUAGUGCUAUCCCGGAUGACUUACCCGAGAUGAUAAGGUAGGAGAAUCGUUUCUUUGUCCUUAUUGCUGACCAAGAAUUCUUCGAUGUACUGACUCGAAUAUUGAUGGUUGUCAUCAUUGAUUGACAAGAAGCCCUCAUGCAUGUAGUAUGGGUCCGCGACCGCAAGACUGGUGAAUUGCUCUCUCCUGACGAUGUAGUUCAUGUGCAGCACAUACAGGCGGACGAACAUAAAAUCGAGUGUGCUCAUUUGAAACACCUGGAAGAUGUAAUCAAAUCUCAGGAAGAAGAGGUCCGCGGGGCAUGUGUGGACAUACAUCUUGCAACUGCUCGGCACAUGAACCGUAUAAAGUGGGUAUCCUGGAUCAUCCGAGGCGAGGACGCUUCUCUCUGUCGAAAGCACAUGGUCAUGGAGUCUCCUGAGAUCCCCCGUUAUGUCAGCUAGUGUAUUCGCCGGUACCAUUGGCUCUCCGCGACAUGGAUAAUGGCGCAUGUUUCAUCGGUACACUAUCAACCUUGGUCGAAGGCAGCUAGCUGCUAGAACCAACAUUGCCAGCUUUAUUGGAUUUUCUCGCCGUCGGUCUCUUCCUCUGCUUCUUCUUAGUGGGCUGAGGUGCUGGUGGGUUUGUCAGACCCUUCCCGAGCACCACCCCUAGUGUUGCCGGGCUCAGCAUUGGACGACUCUGGCUAAGUAGUUGAGCUUGGGUGGAACCGGCAUCUGGAGGCGUGUCCUGCGAGGAUUGUAUGAACAAAGACUUCUUGCACUCCCGAGGACGUUCCGGCUCUGGUACAUGCAUCUCAUAUUCAUAUGGUUGACUCAGUCUUACUUCCAUGUCAUAGCCGGUAUUGAUAUACUGGAGAGGGUCCUCGACCUCCUCCAUGUCAUCAUCCAUAUCCUCUUCCAUGGGGCAGAUGGAAUCAUUUGCCAGAACGGUUGGCCCUCCUUCCUCGUGUCUCUCGAUCUUAGCAAGCAGCACAUACGAUGGUUGUACUUGUGUAGGAGGGGUUGUGGUCAUACCUUCCUGAGCACCACCCCUAGUGUUGUCGGGCUCAGCAUUGGCCAAGCUGCGUGGGGGUCUCGUCAUCCUCUCCAUCGGUUUGUAUUGGACGAGGGAAUCCCUCGUGGCCCUCUUUAACACUCACCACAAAGACCCUUAAGGCGUUAUCAGGCAUCUACCGACGGUGGAACAAUCGAUCCCUGGGAUUCACUAUAGUACCCUUCCUCACAUCCACCAACCCACCCUUCAUGUGGUAAAGGAGGGUGCACGGAGUGGAGUCGGCCUACCAAGACAUAUAUGUGCGACAUCAGAGAUCCAAGAAGAACGGCAACUGAAGAUUAAUUAAUUAGUUGAGUUGAUGAAGGUGCGAUGCGUAUUUACCGUGAGGGCUUCGAGCUCAGCCAAUGUCGACGGAGCCAGAGACGGAGCUAGGGCUGCUGUGACAGCUGGGUGCAGGAGCGGGUGUUGGAGGAGGUGAGGGUGCGGGUGCGGGUGCGGGUGCGGGUGCCAUACUAGGUACGGGUAUGGGUCCGGUGUUCAUUGAGUUGCUCCCGGUGAAGCUGGGCAUGGGAAAAUCACUUGGUGGCACGUUUGGGUUUUGUUGCGCCCAUGUGACCACAGUUGGAAUCAAGCUUGUAAAGGUAGCCGCCGUAUCAUGUCUACAGGCAGCCAUUAUCUUAGCUUUGGUCUCAGCAUUUGCUUUCCCCAUCACCCGCGCCACCUUCUCGUCGAUAGUCACUUGACUGAACUUCUUUCUCUAUCUUUUGGCCUCGGGGUCCUCGCUAUAAUAGUACUUCCACGUGGCGCCAUCCCCGGCACCGUGCACACGUCCAUAUUGCGGCCGCUUGCCGGGCGGGUGUCCCAUCAUUAUGUUAAUGCACGGUUGAAAGGAGUGUCCCAUUUGUACUUCGCCGACGACUGAGUCGAUUGAGUCGACGAGUCACUCUCGGCCGCAAGCUUGUGUUGCCCUCUCUACAAAAUGGACCGUGAAUCAUUUACGAAUGCGACUAGAAUGUAGUAGACUUCGUUGAUCAGAAGCUAAUAUGUAAGGUGGUAAAAGGAUAAUUACCUGUAUUCUCAUGAAUUUCCUAGUCGGCCCGUCGGUGAAAAAAAAUCUUUUUCUUGGGGUCCCACGAGAAUCGGGCCCUGAUGAAGUCGUGCUCCUGCUGGUCGGUGAACUCAGCCAAUGGGUCUGGGAUCCCCUGACGUUCACGUUCUGCGUCCUCCUUAGCCCACACGGGCCUCUUUCCCACCACGAUUUCCAAGGCGGUGGUUCCCCAUGUUCUUUGCCUGCAGCUGCUUGCCUCUCUCCGACCUGGCCUUGGCAGCUUCUUCAUUGCAAGUCUCCUUGAACUUUUCAAAGUCCUCUAUCGUAAUUUUUGGAUUGUCUGCAACAAUCUAGGCAUAGGUUUCACGGUCUACUUGAAUCGCCUUUUUCACCCUAGUUUUCCGAGCGCUCAAUGCGUUGCUGAACUUCCCUAGGGCUUUGUUGUUGAUUUUUUUCAUGGCAUCAUCAUCCCAUGGGUCGACAUCAUCAUUCUGACCGGGGAACAGGAAUCUUGCAUGCAACCUAGUUAGGAGCAGCUUCUUCAAAUGUUCAUUCUUCCGUAUUUUUGUGGUGUUGAUGUUAGCGGUAUCCCACAGGAUGCAUGCUAGUUGGUUGCCGUAACAUGCUGCCACUUCUCGCGGCUCUAUUGGCUCGAACUCGCUAGGGUGCACUGUCAUGACCACCAUUCUUCAGGUGCCGAGCUCAUUUGGGCGUCGUGUCCUCUUUUCCUUCUUUCCCUCACUGGCUUGGGAGGUCCCACCUUCCGUGCUGUAGUUAGCAACAUCAUCAGCGCUAGUCUGAGUGCCGGUGUCGUUGGUGGCAUCAGUGUCCGCACCGGCGCCACCACCGUCGUCCUCCGUCAUGACAAGGGGGGGUCCUGACACCCAGCUUGCUGUCUCUCCUGAUCCGCCAGAAAGUCGAGGUAGGCGUGUGCUCGACCUAAUUGGGACUGAGAACCUCCGGCCUCAUCGGUGUCGGUCAUGUUUCCAAGGUUCAAUGUCGUAGUCGUAUAAUUAUCGAGCUUUAUAUAAUAAAGUGAAUAAUGACAAAAAAGUGACCUUUGUUUUGCUGGAAAUGUCGUUUCAUUCCCGGAGCGACCAAUCUCGAGCACUCGAUAUUUCCAACUUUCUAGCACAAGUCAUGCCGAAAUUCACGGAAAAUUUCGGCAUGACCUUUGCUAGAAAGUGCACAUAUAGAGCGCCUGAAAUUUGCCGGAAUGGAAAUGAAUUAACAUUUCCGGAAAAAAGAUAUGCCACUUUUUUAACAGCAAGGAUUUCAGCACUCUAACAACCAUUUUAACAACCACAUUAUGAGCACUCUAAGAAGCUGAAACAAACAUCACAGAGUUUGUUGCUGCUGACAUAUACACAAUCAUGGACAUUGCCGCCCAACUGAUGCAAAAAGAUCAACUACCAAUCUAACAGCUCAUUAACCAAUCUAACAGCUCCACUCCCCAUUGCAUCAUUAUGAACACUUUAACAGCCACAUUAUGAACACUCCCCCUUGCAUCAUUAUGUGCUGACAUAUGAAGAGGGAGGGAAGAGGGGGUGGCGCACNNNNNNNNNNNNNNNNNNNNNNNNNNNNNNNNNNNNNNNNNNNNNNNNNNNNNNNNNNNNNNNNNNNNNNNNNNNNNNNNNNNNNNNNNNNNNNNNNNNNNNNNNNNNNNNNNNNNNNNNNNNNNNNNNNNNNNNNNNNNNNNNNNNNNNNNNNNNNNNNNNNNNNNNNNNNNNNNNNNNNNNNNNNNNNNNNNNNNNNNNNNNNNNNNNNNNNNNNNNNNNNNNNNNNNNNNNNNNNNNNNNNNNNNNNNNNNNNNNNNNNNNNNNNNNNNNNNNNNNNNNNNNNNNNNNNNNNNNNNNNNNNNNNNNNNNNNNNNNNNNNNNNNNNNNNNNNNNNNNNNNNNNNNNNNNNNNNNNNNNNNNNNNNNNNNNNNNNNNNNNNNNNNNNNNNNNNNNNNNNNNNNNNNNNNNNNNNNNNNNNNNNNNNNNNNNNNNNNNNNNAGACAUACCGGAGCGGGAGCGGGUUAGAGAGAGAGAGCCGGGGCUGAGGGGUCGGAGAGGAAGGAAGAGGGGGCGGGGGGGCAUACCGGAGCGGGAGGGGGUCGGUGGCCGGCGUCAGGGUCGGGGCUGGCGUCGGCGGCGGCGUGGGCGGAGCGGCAUCGGCGACAGCUGAUACGUUUCCAACAUAUCUAUAAUUUUUGAUUGCUCCAUGCUAUAUUAUCUACUGUUUUGGACUAUAUUGGGCUUUAUUUUCCACUUUAUAUUAUUUUUGGGACUAACCUAUUAAUCGAAGGCCCAACCCAGAAUUGAUGUUUUUGCCUAUUUUAGAGUUUCGGAGAAACAGAAUAUCAAACGGAGUCCAAACGGAAUGAAACCUUCGGGAACGUGAUUUUCUCAUCAGAUAAGACCGAGGAGACUUGGACCCUCCGUCAAGAAAGCCACGAGGCGGUCACGAGGGUGGGGGCGCGCCCCCUGCCUCGUGGUCCCCUUGGAGCUCCAUCGACGUACUUCUUCCUCCUAUAUAUACCUACUUUUCCCCAAACGAUUAGAUACGGAGCCAAAAACCUAAUUCCACUGCCGCAACCUUCUGUACCCACGAGAUCCCAUCUUGGGGCCUGUUCCAGAGCUCCGCCGGAGGGGGCCAUCAUCACGGAGGGCUUCUACAUCAUCCUAGCCCCUCCGAUGAAGUGUGAGUAGUUUACCUCAGACCUUCGGGUCCAUAGUUAUUAGCUAGAUGGCUUCUUCUCUCUUUUUGGAUCUCAAUACAAUGUUCUCCCCCUCUCUUGUGGAGAUCUAUUCGAUGUAAUCUUCUUUUUGCGGUGUGUUUCACUACUAGGGAAAACCUUAUACACAGAGGUAUAGCAAGUAGCGUUGGUCAAAACUCGGCGCUAGCGCUACUUAAUAGUAGCGCUUGUUGCAAAAUCACGCUACAACCAUUGUUUUAGUAGUAGCGCGUCUUCACGGAAAAGCACUACUACUAAAAUUCCCUCACUAAUGCAGGUAGGCUAGGAAUAGUAGUAGCGGUUCACCCAGAAGCAAGCUACUGCUAAAAACUUUGUAGCAGCGCGUUUAUGCUCUAGAGCGCUACUGCUAUGAAAAAGAAAAUAAAUGGAAAAAUAAGUAGAAAAGUAAAUGAAAAUGAAAGAAAUAGAAAACAGAGAAAUGAAAAAAAUAAAAUGUAAAGAAAACAAAAGAAAAAUAAAAAUAAAACAGAAAGGAAUAGCUGUAGCGCGUUUCUCUGGAACACGCUAUAGCUAUCUUAGCUAUAGCGCGUUUUGGCAAAACUCGCUACUGCUAGUUUGACUCAAAUCCCGACAGCCCGGGCUCAAAAUUUCGCUAAGUCCUUUCCCCCUCUCUACUCCCGCCCCCCCCCUGUCCCCCAACUGCUCCAUCGCCGCCGUCGCCCUGCCGCCUUCGACCACACCGCCACCACCCGAGGCCGCCUUCGACCAAACCACCGCCGCUCGCCGCCUUCGACCAUGCCGCUGCCGCCCGAGGCCGCCCUCGACCUCACAGACGUCGCCCGAGGCCAUCGUUGACCUCACCAUCGCCUCCCUCGAGCUCACCGCCGCCGCCCUCGACCUCACCGCCCCUGCCCGAGCCAGAGCCUGCCCUCGCUGCCGACCGUAAGGCUCUGCCUCUCCUGUCCCCUACCCUCCUCUCUCUCUCUCUGCUAGGGCGAUUCAUAUAUAUGUUGAUACUGUGUUGAUGUUCAUAUGAACCCUAUGUGUUCAUAUGAACCCUAGAUUUUUUAGGGCAGUAGGCAUUUUAUAGCAUUUAGGAAAAAUGAUUAGCAAUUUUUUAGGAAAUUAGCUAGGGCAAUUUUUAUGAAAAUGCCUAAACAAUAAUUCCAUUUAUAUUUAAACUAAUAUAGGGUAUAUAAAUAAUAGUAGCAUUUAGAUUUAAAUUAACAGAUGCUAUAAACAAAAAACACUUAGCUAUAAAAAAAUAUUUGGACUACGGACCUGAAUUUGUUCCAAAUUUCAUUCAAAUGAAAUUUGAAUUAUUUGGACUAUGGACCUGAAUAUUUUUGAACAAAUUGGGUGUAGGUACUAAGGUCUUGCUGUGGAAAUUUUGGUGAGGUCUUCCUCAAUAGUGUUUGCUCAUGUUAUAUCUUUUCAUUGAAGUUGUUCGAUUGUGCCCAAGUGGCUUUGUUGUUUCCAGGGAAUGAUGCUGAGUGGCCUGUGUUUUGCCGGAAUGUUGAUUCAUUUCUGUUCCGGCAAAUUUCAGGUUCUCGAUUUGUCCACUUUUUAGCAAAGGUCAUGCCGAAAUUUUCCGUGAAUUUCGGCAUGACUUGUGCUAUAAACUAGGACAUAUCGAGUGCCCGGGAUUUGCCGCACGAGGAAGGAGUCAACAUUCCUGCAAAACAAUGGGCCUUUUUUAUGUCAUUAUUCAUUUUAUUAGGUCUAGAAUUAAUUUACUAGAUUUAAUCAUAGGAAACAUGGCUAGCAACGAUGAAUGAUAGGGUUCUAGUGAUUGCGACGACGUCUACCGGGAGGUAGACGAAUUUUUUAGCUUUGCCGACGAUCAACUGGUGGCAUCGGGGACUGAGACCGACAUGCAGACCGGUGCUGAGACUCAGACCGGCAUCGAGACCGGCGCUGCCUCGGGGAGCGGAGCCGGUGUAGAACCGAAAGCAAAGAGGCAACAACUUCCUAACAAACUCAGGACUACUAGACUGGUGGUCACGGAGGUGGACGACGGCAAUUUUGAGCCAAAGGCACCCGAGGAAGCGCAUCGAUGCUACGGCAAUCAAAUAGGUUGCAUCGUACGGACAACCGCCACCAUCAAUGAUGAGAAACUACCGAAGAUAGAAAAUAUAAGGAGCUCCCUCCAAAAGAAGUUUCACCAGAUAUUCUUGUUCCCGGGCCGGAAUGAGAAGGAGUAUGAAGAUCCAGAUGAGGACCCGGCAAUGAAGAAGAUAAACAAACACGCCAUGACCAAGUUUAGCAACGCGUUGGCCGCCUGGAAAAAUCAAGUGAAAGCAAAGAUCAUCGACAAGAAGGAACCCUACUUCGAGAUUGUAAAGGAUAAUCCGACAAUCACAGAAGAGCAGUUUCAAAUAUUCAAGGAGCCUUGCGAGGCCGAAGCUGCCAAAAAAAGUCUAAGUACAUGAAGGGGCUUCAAGAGAGGAACAUUGGGAGCCACCACCUCGGAAGCCGUGGUUACGGCGGAAAUAGGUCCAAAUGGGCCAAGGAGUACGCGAAAGCCGCGAGUCUGGGCAUCCCAGACCCCUUGGCGGAUUUCACCGUCCCGCAGGAGCUUGACGUCCUCAGGGCCCGGCACUGUUGGGACCCAGUGAAGAAGGUUUACGAGACAAAACCGAUCAUUACGGAGUUCAUGAGACUGCUGGUAAUUUUAGUUUCUGAUCAAUUCGACUGCACACGUUAGUCAUAUUUGUAAACGAUCCUUGUGCCUUUUACAGAGAGAGCAUCACCGGAUUGUGGCCGAAAGCGACUCACCGUCUGAGGCAUUGGCGAGGCCCAAGUGGGACACUCCAUUCAACCGGGCAUUGAACAUAUUGAAAUGACAACCGGUGGAUACUCGACCGUCGUAUGGACGCGUGCACGGUGUAGGAGACGGCGCCACAUGGAAGAAGUACUACCGUGAGACCACGGAGGAAAGAAAGGAAAGACGGAGGUUAACUGAAGAAAACAUCGACAAGAUGGUUGAGAUUGCGGUUGAGAAGAAAUCAUCUCAGACAGUCGCAACAGCGGUAGCUAUCGCAAAACAAGUGGUUGCAGAUUUGUCUACUUCCUUGGUGACGGGCGUUAUCACUUGGACAAGGCAAAAUCCAGAAAAAAUGCAAAGGACUUUCCCCUUGCUGACUUCUCGGGGAGCAGCUCGACUAGCGAUGCACCAGCACCUGCUCCCGCACCGGCUCCCGCACCGGACGUGCUCAGUGGUGCUUCGUCUUUGGCUGAGCUUGACGCCCUCACGGUAUUUGUCACACCGCCCACCUUCAAUAUAAAUGUAUAAUCUCCCGUUUUCGUUGCCUUUCGGAUGUCUCACAUCGCAGACUUUUCUUUCCAGGCGGACGAAACCCUGUGCACCAUAUUGUACACCAUCAGCGACCAGAAGGUGGACGUGGGGAAGGCGACAAUAAUGGAGCCGAAGGAAUCAUUGUUCCACAGCCGGCCGAUCCCCCCGAACAUCUUCAAGGUUUCCGUGGCCAGUGUCAAACCGGGCCACGGGAAUUUGCCUCCUCCAAUACUAGUGGGGGAUGAUGACGAGACACCGCGGUGGCUUGGUGAUUCUUGCAAUGGGUGGGUCCUGUUGUGGCCAAAGAGUCUGCUUCGUCUGGAGGCGGCCGGGAGCACACCGACGAGCACGCAGCCUCAGCAAGGUAUGAACAUCAACACCCCACCUACCCAAUUAGCGUCGGAUGUCGGGUUGGGUGAUAGCGGACGGGGUAAGGAGGAGGCUCCAUUAGUCGCUGAUGACGUCGCCAUGGAUGAGGAUGAGGACGAUGGUGGCGCUGAACAGUAUGUCUAUACUGGCGCCUCCUCGGGGUUUGAGCGUCAUGAGUCGGUGCCUGAAUUGCCGUCUCAACGUAUUAUGGACGACCUUCCAGUAGUAAAGAAGUCUAGGAAGAGAGCGAGGAAAGGCAAAAAAGCCGAUUCUAUGAUCCAGCCGCCUCAGCAGCCUCGGCUUCAGGACCGUAUAGAUAUCCCCGAUGCGGAUAAAUGGCAUAUCCCCGGUCAACCAAUCCUACCUGCAACAGCGCUACGGGUCAGAUUCGGCGAUCUAAGGAGACUUCAUGACGAUGUGCUGCGGGUAGAGAAAGGCCUCAUCGCCUCGAAAGAUCCAGGAUACCCACUCUACGUGGUUAACGUUCCGCGGCAAAUGUCGUACGUCGACAGCUUCCCCGCGGAUAAGUUCUUCCUCCGAUUCUAUUACAUAUUCGACAUGUUUCACGUGAAGAAGCUGGAUUUUACGUUUGUCCGCCUUUAUGCCUUGCACAUGAAAUACAUCAUCGAGGUUGAGCAGAUAUCUCAUAUCUGUGUCACUGACCCGUACUACAUGCACUAGGGCUUCUUGGGAGUCUGCGCAAAGCACCAUGAAUAUGCGAGGGAUUACAUCAUCAGUUUCAUGCUCGCUAAUAAGGACAAGGAGGCGAUUCUCGUGCCUUAUCAUCCCGUGUAAGUCAUCUGCGCUGCUAUCCUUCCUUCGAUUUCAAUCAUUCAUUUGCACGGUGGAGGCUAAUUAAUUUGAGGUGUACUUAUUUUGCGCAGCGGCGGGCGCGCCAUCCUCAUCAUCCUCUACCCCUGAUUCUCCCACGCUCUUUACUUGGACUCGUCGAAGAACAUUCACAAAAAGGAUUACACCCACAUCAAGGAUGUUCUCGACAGUGCUAUGUUUUACUACCAAGCAACAGGUGGAGAGGUCAGGGACAAGAAGAGAAGGGGCGGCAGGGUCGCCUUCGGCCAUAAGACCGACUUCUGCUGCAUCUAGCAACCGAACGAUUCUCUUAAUGAUGGAUUCUAUGUCCUACACCACAUGCUGGAGUACAGACGGGAUCACCAGAACCUUCGCAUGUCACCUAGAUCCAGCGAUGCCCAUAUUCUGCAAUGGGCAAAGGACAUAGGAGAUAUCGAGGAUCAUCGACUUCGAGCUGAGUUCUAUAACAUCCAGCGCGAACUUGCCCAAAUCAUCAUGAAGGAGUUCGUCGGAAAAACAGGGAUGUUCUACGGAGAAGGACAAAUGUCGCGGGAAGACGUCCGAACAUGGAUAGCCUCUCAGCGUCUCGACAUGAAUCCUUUCACUAAGCUCGAGGACUAUCUCCUUGACUUGCAUGGAUGGAACGACAUGUUGGAGUGAUUGUCGAUAUACGACAAUGUGUCCGUUUAGUCCAUACUUUUUGUAUGACAAAACUUUGAGUUAUGCACGGUGAAACUUUAUUUGUGAUGUAAUUAAACAGUCCUCCUCCUCGACUAGCGAAAAUCACUCUAGUUAGGGCAUUUUGGGGUACGAUGAACUUUGUUAUUUAUGCUUAUGAUAUGUUGUUUCUAUUUUUGCCAAGUCUGUCUAUUUCUGUUGCUCAACUAUAUAUGUUGCAUAUCAUCGACUCAUGUGAUGAUGCAGGUGCAUAUAUCAUAGAUGGCGAAGAAGUGCUACGCCAGGAGUAUAUAUACGACGAGUGGCCGGAGUGUCAGGCCCAGGUGUACCGGUUUUCGGUUUUCGAGAGACAGGCAGUAGUUAGUUUAGGUUCACGCUAAUGCGAGAGAGGGAUACGAACUCAUGUACUCAAAGUGAUAGCUCUUCUCGCGUAUAUCAUUAUUUAGAUGGAUGACGAUGUAUUUGCAAGUAAUGGAGACUUGUAUCGCUAUUUUCGAGAUGAUGACAAGAGACCACUUUGUGUUGGAUGAUGAUUAUGAUGAUGACAUGAUUUGAUGAGAUUAAUUGUAUGUAUAUGCUAUGAUUACAUUUGUAUGUGUAUGAUAUGCUAAAGAUUAUUGUAUAAAGCCUAUUCAAAUACAAAACAAAUAUGCAGGGAAAAAACUAAUAAAGUUAGUAGUAGCGAGGGGGGGAAAUUGAGCAGUAGCGCUUCCCAGUAAACAGCACUGCAGAUAAUAUCAGCAGCGCCCUUUUCUAAAGAGUGCUACAGAUAUUCAUGUAUAGCAGUAGCAUGGGACAACAGGCGCUACUGCUAUACGUUAGCUGUAGCGCCUUAUUAGUAGCGCCGGUCCCCGCGCUACAGAGAGGCCCAAAACCCGCGCUGCUGCUAGGCUUUUCCCUAGUAGUGUUUGUUGAGACUGAUGAAUUGUGGGUUUAUGAUCAAGUCUAUCUAUGAAUAAUAUUUGAAUCUUCUCUGAAUUCUUUUAUGUAUGAUUUGUUAUCUUUGCAAGUCUCUUUGAAUUAUCAAUUUGGUUUGGCCUACUAGAUUGGUCUUUCUUGCAAUGGGAGAAGUGCUUAGCUUUGGGUUCAAUCUUGUGGUGUCCUUACCCAAUGACAGAAAGGGCAACAAGGCACGUAUUGUAUUGUUGCCAUCAAGGAUAACAAGAUGGGGUUUUUAUCAUAUUGCAUGAAAUUAUCCCUCUACAUCAUGUCAUCCUGCUUAAGGCGUUACUCUAUUUUUAACUUAAUACUCUAGAGGCAUGCUGGAUAGUGGUCGGUGAGUGGAGUAAUAGUAGUAGAUGCAGGCAGGAGUCGGUCUACCUGUCUCGGACGUGAUGCCUAUAUACAUGAUCAUGCCUAGAUAUUCUCAUAACUAUGCUCAAUUCUCUCAAUUGCUCAACAGUAAUUUGUUCACCCACCGUAGAAUACUUAUGCUCUUGAGAGAAGCCACUAGUGAAACCUAUGGCCCCCGGGUCUAUUUUCCUCAUAUCAAUCUCCAUCACUUUAAUCUUGCUUGCUUUUUACUUUGCCUUUUUACUUUUUACGUUGCAUCUCUAUAUUAAAAAUACAAAAAAUGUUAUCUAUCAUCUCUAUCAGAUCUCACUCCCGUAAGUGACCGUGAAGGUAUUGACAAUCCCUAAUCGCGUUGGUUGCGUUGAGCUAUUGUUUUUGUGUAGGUACGAGGGACUCGAGCGUAGCCUCCUACUAGAUUGAUACCUUGGUUCUCAAAAACUAAGGGAAAUACUUACGCUACUUUGCUGCAUCAUCCUCUCCUCUUCGGGGAAAUCCAACGCAGUGCUCAAGAGGUAGCAAGAAGAAUUUCUGGCGCCGUUGCCGGGGAGUCUACGCAAAAGUCAACAUACCAAGUACCCAUCACAAUCCCUAUCUCCCGCACUACAUUAGUUGCCAUUUGCCUCUCGUUUUCCUCUCCCCCACUUCACCCUUGCCGUUUUAUUCGCCCUCUCUUCCGUUUGCCUUUUUCUCGCUUGCUUGUCAUUAUGUCUGAAAUUGGGGAAUUUACCGCCGAUAUGGGCGAUAAUAAUAUCAUAGAAAAUUCUGAAGCUCCCGCUGAAGAAUCCCCUACCUAUCAAACAAAAAGAUUUCGAAUCGGUAGUGGUAAUAUUAUUGGAAAAGGAGUUAUUUAAGAUUUCUUUACUUGUGCCGGUGCUUUGCCCUCUAUGGGCGGUUCUAUUCUUCAUAGAACUAGUAGUCUUGCGGACGCUAUUGCCAUACUUAUUGUUGAACUUGAAAGGCAAUUUAUGCAUAUGCACCCUUCUAUACAAAGAAUUUUUCUAGAAUUUUCUAAUAUCGAACACUCCUCUGUUAAGCGUGCCGCUACUAUAUUUUUGGCUCAUGAAUUCAGAUUUAUAAUAAAAGAAGCCAAAGAAAUCUUUGCGCAUUAUAGGGUGGACGCUGCCCGUCCUCCCAUAGAAUCUAUCCUCUUUGAUCAAGAAGAAAUUAUGCGUUUUCAAUCUCCUGACUAUGUUGCUUUCAAUGAAAACCUUAGAAAAAAGGUGCCAACCAAUAUUUUAAUCGAUAGAAUCUCCGAACUUAAUGAUGAUUUGGCUAUUCAAAAUAAUGAGCUAGGAUGCUCUCUUGAGUGUAGGCUCACAACGUUCUGUCAAAAGAACGCUUACAAUGAUGAAUUGGUUGUGCAUUAUGAAGGGCCGAAAGAGGAACCUAUACCUCCUAAAAUUGAUCUUGGGGAUUUUUGCCCUAUUAAAUUUAGCCCUUUUGAUUACUUUUGCUUGCCUCAAAGAAAACUUGCUGCCAAACUAGAGAAUAUGAAAUGAGUUUCACCGAUCUAUCUUGUUACUACAACACUACCUAGAUCUAUCCUCGCUUUUAUGCCUAGCUAGGGGCGUUAAACGAUAGCGCUUGUUGGGAGGCAACCCAAUUUUAUUUUAUUUUUUAUUUUUGCUUAUGUUUAGGAAUAAAUAAUCCAUCUACCUUCUGUUUAGAUGUGGUUUUGUGUUUUAAUUAGUGUUUGUUCCAAGUUAGACCUAUAGGAUCUUCUUAGAUGAUAGUUAUUUGAUCUUGAUGUAAUUUCCAGAAUCUUUCUGUUCACGAAAAUAAUUGUUAAAAAUCACCACAACGUGAUAAAAUACUGAUUCCAAUUGCUGCUGAUCAAUAAACAAAUUGUCUGGGUCUUCCUAUUUUGGUAGAUGUUUUGGAAUUCCAGAAGUUUGCAUUAGUUACAGAUUACUACAGACUGUUCUGUUUUUGACAGAUUCUGUUUUUCGUGUGUUGUUUGCUUAUUUUGAUGAAUCUAUGGUUAGUAAAAUAGUCUAUAAUCCAUAGAGAAGUUGGAAUACAGUAGGUUUAACACCAAUAUAAAUAAAGAAUGAGUUCAUUACAUUACCUUGAAGUGGUCUUUUGUUUUCUUUCGCUAACGGAGCUCACGAGAUUUCUGUUGAGUUUUGUGUUGUGAAGUUUUCAAGUUUUGGGUGAAAUCUUUUGAUGGAUUAUGGAACAAGGAGUGGAAGAGCCUAAGAUUGGGGAUGCCCAUAGCACCCCCAAGAUAAUCCAAGGACACCAAAAAGUCAAAGCUUGGGGAUGGCCCGGAAGGCAUCCCCUCUUUCGUCUACUUCCAUCGGUAAUUUUACUUGGAGCUAUAUUUUUAUUCACCACAUGAUAUGUGUUUUGCUUGGAGCGUCUUGUAUUAUUUAUGUCUUUGUUUGCUUGUGCCACAAUCAUACUUGCUGUACACACCUUCUGAGAGAGCCAUACAUGAAUUGGAAUUUGAUAGAAUACUCUAUGUGCUUCACUUAUAUCUUUUGAGCUAUAUAGUUUUGCUCUAUGUGCUUCACUUAUAUCUUUUAGAGCACGGUGGUGGAUUUGUUGUAAAGAAACUAUUGAUCUCUCAUGCUUCACUUAGAUUAUUUUUAGAGUCUUUAAUAGCAUGGUAAUUUCCUUAAUAAUAAUAAUAAGCUUGGUAUUCAAGUUUUGUAAAACUUUCUUUUGAGUGUGUUGAAUACUAAGAAAAGGUUGAUGCUUGAUAAUUGUUUUGAGAUAUGAAGAUGGUGAUAUUAGAGUUAUGCUAGUUGAGUAGUUGUGAAUUUGAAGAAUACUUGUGUUGAAGUUUGUGAUUCCCGUACCAUGCAUGUAUGGUGAACCGUUUUGUGAUGAGACUGGAGCAUGAUUUAUUUAUUGAUUGUCUUCCUUAUGAGUGGCGGUCGGGGACGAGCGAUGGUCUUUUCCUACCAAUCUAUCCCCUAGGAGCAUGCGCGUAAUACUUUGCUUUGAUAACUUCUAGAUUUUUGCAAUAAGUAUAUGAGUUCUCUAUGACUAAUGUUGAGUCCAUGGAUUAUACGCACUUUUCCCUUUCUUCCACCAUUGCUAGCCUCUCUAAUACCGCACACUUUUCGCCGGUAUCAUACACCCACCAUAUACCUUCCUCAAAACAUCCACCAUACCUACCUAUCAUGGCAUUUCCAUAGCCAUUCCGAGAUAUAUUUCCAUGCAACUUUCCACCGUUCCGUUUAUUAUGACACGCUCCAACAUUGUCAUAUUGCUAGCAUGAUCAUGUAGUUGACAUCGUAUUCGUGGCAAAGCCACCGUUCAUAAUUCUUUCAUACAUGUCACUCUUGAAUCAUUGCAUAUCCCGGUACACCGCCGGAGGCAUUCACAUAGAGUCAUAUUUUGUUCUAAGUAUUGAGUUGUAAUUGUUGAGUUGUAAGAAAAAUAAAAGUGUGAUGAUCAUCAUUUUUAGAGCAUUGUCCCAAGUGAGGAAAGGAUGAUGGAGACUAUGGUUCCCCCACAAGUCGGGAUGAGACUACGGACGAAAAAAAUAGAGGCCAUAAAAAAGGAAAAGGCCCAAAUAAAAAAAAUGAGAGAAAAAGAGAGAAGGGACAAUGUUACUAUCCUUUUACCACACUUGUGCUUCAAAGUAGCACCAUGAUCUUCAUGAUAGAGAGUCUCUCAUUUUGUCACUUUUAUAUACUAGUGGGAAUUUUUCAUUAUAGAACUUGUCUUGUAUAUUCCAAUGAUGGGCUUCCUCAAAAUGCCCUAGGUCUUCGUGAGCAAGCGAGUUGGAUGCACACCCACUUAGUUUCUUUUGUUGAGCUUUCACAUACUUAUAGCUCUAGUGCAUCUGUUGCAUGGCAAUCCCUACUCACUCACAUUGAUAUCUAUUGAUGGGCAUCUCCAUAGCCCGUUGAUACGCCUAGUUGAUGUGAGACUAUCUUCCACUCUUUUUGUCUUCUCCACAACCACCAUUCUAUUCCAUAUAUAGUGCUAUAUCCAUGGCUCACGCUCAUGUAUUGCGUGAAGAUUGAAAAAGUUUUUAAAAUAUUAAAGUAUGAAACAAUUUCUUGGCUUGUCAUCGGGGUUGUGCAUGAUUUAAAUACUUUGUGUGGUGAAGAUGGAGCAUAGCCAGACUAUAUGAUUUUGUAGGGAUAACUUUCUUUGGCCAUGUUAUUUUGAGAAGACAUGAUUGCUUUGUUAGUAUGCUUGAAGUAUUAUUAUUUUUAUGUCAAUAUGAACUUUUGUCUUGAAGCUUUUGGAUAUGAAUAUUCAUACCACAAUUAAGAAGAUUGCAUUGAAAUUAUGCCAAGUAGCACUCCGCACAAAAAAUUCUCUUUUUAUCAUUUACCUACUCGAGGACGAGCAGGAAUUAAGCUUGGGGAUGCCUGAUACGUCUCCAACGUAUCUAUAAUUUUUGAUUGCUCCAUGCUAUAUUAUCUACUGUUUUGGACUAUAUUGGGCUUAAUUUUCCACUUUUAUAUUAUUUUUGGGACUAACCUAUUAAUCAGAGGCCCAGCCCAGAAUUGCUGUUUUUUGCCUUUUUCAGAGUUUCGGAGAAAUAGAAUAUCAAACGGAGUCCAAACGUAAUGAAACCUUCGGGAAUGUGAUUUUCUCAUCAGAUAAGACCCAUGAGACAUGGACCCUCCGUCAAGAAAGCCACAAGGCGGUCACGAGGGUGGGGGCGCGCCCCUGCCUCGUGGGCCCCUUGGAGCUCCACCAACAUACUUCUUCCUCCUAUAUAUACCUACGUAUCCCCAAACGAUCAGAUACGGAGCCAAAAACCUAAUUCCACCACCGCAACCUUCUGUACCCACGAGAUCCCAUCUUGGGGCCUGUUUCGGAGCUCCGCCGGAGAGGGCCAUCAUCACGGAGGGCUUCUACAUCAUCCUAGCCCCUCCGAUGAAGUGUGAGUAGUACACCUCAGACCUUCGGGUCCAUAGUUAUUAGCUAGAUGGCUUCUUCUCUCUUUUUGGAUCUCAGUACAAUGUUCUCCCCCUCUCUUGUGGAGAUCUAUUCGAUGUAAUCUUCUUUUUGCGUGUGUUUGUUGAGACCGAUGAAUUGUGGGUUUAUGAUCAAGUCUAUCUAUGAAUAAUAUUUGAAUCUUCUCUGAAUUCUUUUAUGUAUGAUUUGUUAUAUUUGCAAGUCUCUUCGAAUUAUCAGUUUGGUUUCGCCUACUAGAUUGGUCUUUCUUGCAAUGGGAGAAGUGCUUAGCUUUGGGUUCAAUCUUGCGGUGUCCUUACCCAGUGACAGAAAGGGCAGCAAGGCACGUAUUGUAUUGUUGCCAUCGAGGAUAACAAGAUGGUUUUUUUAUCAUAUUGCAUGAAAUUAUCCCUCUACAUCAUGUCAUCUUUCUUAAGGUGUUACUCUGUUUUUAAUUUAAUACUCUAGAUGCAUGCUGGAUAGCGGUUGAUGAGUGGAGUAAUAGUAGUAGAUGCAGGCAGGAGUCGGUCUACUUGUCUCGGACGUGAUGCCUAUAUACAUGAUCAUACCUAGAUAUUCUCAUAACUAUGCUCAAUUCUGUCAAUUGCUCAACAGUAAUUUGUUCACCCACCGUAGAAUACGUAUGCUCUUGAGAGAAGCCACUAGUGAAACCUAUGCCCCCGGGUCUAUUUUCCUCAUAUCAAUCUCCAUCACUUUAAUCUUGCUUGCUUUUUUACUUUGCCUUUUUUACUUUUCACGUUGCAUCUCUAUAUUAAAAAUACCAAAAAUAUUAUCUAUCAUCUCUAUCAGAUCUCACUCCCGUAAGUGACCGUGAAGGGAUUGACAACCCCUAAUUGCGUUGGUUGCGUUGAGCUAUUGUUUUUGUGUAGGUACGAGGGUCUCGAGCGUAGCCUCCUACUGGAUUGAUACCUUGGUUCUCAAAAACUGAGGGAAAUACUUACGCUACUUUGCUGCAUUAUCCUCUCCUCUUCGGGGAAAUCCAACACAGUGCUCAAGAGGUAGCAGCAGCGUGGGCGGUGCAACGUCAGUGGUGGCGUGGGUGGUGGCGUCAGAGAGGGGAUCGACGAGCGGCGCGAGUGAGAGACAGGAAAGAGGGGAACUAGCUGUAACACUCCAAAAUUUUUGAUUUGGUUUUUAUCAAAUUCUUUAAUUAAUUGGAAGGAGGUUAUUUAAAUUUUUUUCUAAAAGACUCUCCUUCUCAAAACAUUUCUUUUAAGACAAAUAUUUUAUGUGUUCUUUCCCAACCUUGAUUUUGGUCUUGAGGGUUUUCAUCUUGUGUUGGCUCAACACAAAUACUUUUGGGUGGUUUUACAAAUGUUCUUUAAAAAAAGAAUUCCUAUAAUUUUGGAUUUUAUCCUUCCCUAUUCAAAAGUACUCUCUUGCCAUGGCCUAUGUAGAAAACUUUCUUCCAAAACCCACCUCCCUACUUUGGGUCAAGCCAAGCAUCCAAUUACAACAAGUUUCAACCUCUUUUAGAUUUUGUUUCUAUUUAUUUUAUCCUUAAACCUUUUUCUGCAAUUUAUUUUGGACUCCUGGGAUUUACAAAGGAGGUACCAGAUUCCUUAAGUUUCUAAGCCCAAGUAACUUACCCUAGCUACUCCUUAGUACCCUCAACCUAGAUCCAUCAAGAUCUACUGGUCCACAGUUCAAAUUUUUCAAAAUUUACUUGCUGCAAGUUUGGAACAGAUUUGCCAUUUUUGGUGAAAUUGAUUCUUUUCCUUUUCCAAAAAUUCUGAGAAAAUUCAGGCAGUCUCUGGAUGCAUUAAGAGGCCAUCCCACCAAGUUUCAGCUCAAGAAAAUUUUUCCACGUGCGCCAAACAUUUCGUCGAACAGCUGGUGUGCACUGUUCCUGUUCAAAUUCAGAGUUUCAAUGUUAAGCUUCAGUCGUCAGUGUCAUUUUCUUCAGAGCUUGGCGUCAAUCUCGCUAGUGCUCGCCCUGGCCUCUUGCUCCGUGUUCGCCCUCCUUAUCCAGUGCACCGCACGGUUGUCUGGCCGGUCGCGAGCGUCGGUGGCGACGUGUCACGUCAACCCCGGCACCUCCCGCUGUGGCAGAACCGCCCGUGGUGGCCAGCAGGGGCCAGCCCUGCAGUACGGCUUCGUCCAGCACCGCCCACACCACCAGGAGCCUCCGCGUGGCCGUCCUCUUCUCUGUGCCUGCUACAGAACCGUCGCCGUGGCCUGAGAGGCGCAGAGCACACUCUCUGCUGCCGACGAGCCCGUGAGCUCCGUUCCGUCGAAGCCACGGGAGCAGGCCAAAUCCGAUCAAGCUUAGUUGUUGAAUGGAGCCAGUGGACCAAUCCGCAGCUGCCCAGUCACCUAAGCCGUUAGCUCGACCACCACCUCGCCGUAAUUACUCGCCGGAGAAAUCCCGUUCUCGGCAACCGCCUUGGGCUGGCUAUAAAUGGAGGCCCCGAGCUCGCCUUCGACCCAGCACCACUCCUCCACCUCACCAGAACCGCGCCCAGCCGCUAGGAGGACCUCGAGGAGGCCUUCUUCCCCGACUCCGGCUGCCCCGAUCCGCUUCGGGCUCCGGAAAGAUUCUCUCUACUGAGUGCACCCCCGCUCCCCAAACUGUGCCAGUAGCAUCCUAGUGCACCCGCUUGCCUGACCCGCGCUUCAAUUUGGAGUUUGCAGCUCCCUUCGGAGAGAAUCAUCCUCGACCGAACCACCGUCCGCCGGAGUGGAGGCCGCUGUUGAGGUGGUGCUCGCCGACGACCAACUCCACCACCCACAGACGCGGGAGAACUCCGUGAGUCCGUAGGUACCAUCCACUCCCCCUACCUCGCCGUGGAUCAACGCCGGCGACCACCGCGAGCCUCGAGCACCGGUGGGAUUCUAUUCUGAAUUUCAAACCUGACGGGUGGGACCCCCUCGUCAGCUUCACCCUCCCCCUUCAAAUCGUUUUCCGUUGGCACCUUCGGCCCGGAUACGUUUUCCCCUCUGGAAGGCGUAUUCCAACUGAAGCGUUUUCUAUUUUUCUAAACUAGCCCCUGGAAAGUUUCUGUUUCAUCACAGAUUAGUCCCUGGACUAAAACCUUUAUAACUUCUAAACAAAAGAUGAUUUUGAGCUGAUUCUUUUUCUGUCAUCUUUAUUUUUCUAUCUAGUUUUUUAUCAUAUUUAUUUGAAAAAUAUUUGGAACAAUUUUUAUGCAUGCACGGUAUUUACGUUAGUAUCCGAUUUCUUUUAUAACGUAGAUACCGAAGGAGGUGACGGAGCCGCAAACUUUGCCGAGCUAGACUCCGACUACUCCGAACCAGGCAAGCAUGUUUGAAUCUUUGAUAUGAUGAGUGUUUUUCAUGAUUGCUUAAGUGGUUUUAUCAUGACAUGUUUAUAUAAGCAUUUGUGAAUGUUAUAUUUCAUGCAAGCAAGCUGCAAGUGAGCUUCUAAAUUCGAUGUGUUCAUAUGAUGGUGAGAUAACCUGAUCAUGUGGUGGCAUGAUAGGUUGCAAGCUGGUAUUGUUGAAGCAUGCCAGUUUUAUAUCAACUGUUAACUCCAGUAUUAACGUGGAUUAAGUCUUGUUCCCGUUCGUUCCCUUCCGUGCUACCACAUGUUUUCUGCAAAGAAUACGGUUUAGUAAGUUGCAAACCUCUUUACUUAUACACACCAAAUAGAGGGGCCGUGAUGAGGGUUCCAUGGCCCUGGAUUAAAGCCCAUCAUCCGGUUAGGGGGCAUGGGUGUUUCCGGUUUGGACCGAGAGGGGGGCACCCCUUAGAGCGUGCGAUAUAAAUUUGAUCCCAUUCCAUUCGAGGUUGUAGCCUCCCCAUCUUAGAGUUUUUCUUGAAUGUUGCCUAGGGUGAUUCCUGGCAGCGGAAUGUGGAAUGGGUGUGUACUGGUUAGAUGUGUUUCUUCUAAAAUACCAUAAACGAAACUAGUCCUUUGAGACUAAUGAAAUCUGUUGGCUGUGGGUAAAGAGCACAAACUCUGCAGAGUUAAAACCAUUCGAGUAACCAUGUCCAUGGUCAUGGACUUUGAUCAACAUAUCAGUGUCAGUCUCAGUAUCAGUCUCAGUGUCAGUCUCAGUGAUAGUCUCCGGAGAAUAAGCAUGAAACUGAGAGUGGUAAACCCGGCUGAAUGUUUUUCCUGGGGAUGGACUAACCAGUUUAUUGUCAUGUACCGAGUAUUCCGUGGAAUGAUGUUACCUUCAUGAUCUACUUGAAUUCGAAUGAUGAGAUAUAAGACCUUUAUGUGAUGUCGCUCAGACGUACGAUAGUGGCAUUCUUGUUAUUUACUUUUGAUAUAAGCCCUUUAUGUGAUGUCGCUCAGACGUCCGACUGUGGCAUUAUUUAUUUACUUUUGAUAUAAGCCCUUUAUGUGAUGUCGCUCAGGCGUCCGACUGAGGCAUUCUUGUUAUUUACUUUUGAUAUAAGCCCUUUAUGUGAUGUCGCUCAGACGUCCGACUUUGGCAUUCUUGUUAUUUACUUUUGAUAUAAGCCCUUUAUGUGAUGUCGCUCAGACGUCCGACUGUGGCAUCCUUGUUAUUUACUUUCAUUAUAAGCCCUUUUCGAGAUGUCGCUUAGACGUCCGACUGUGGCACGUACUGUCAUUUAUGUUUUAAUAUAAGCCCUUUAUGUGGUGUCGCCCUGACGCCCGACUGCGGCAUGUUAAUUUAUUUUACCUUUCGAGGCGUCGCUUCAGACACCCGAUCGGUUUUCAGCUAUUUUAUUCGGAUUUCGGGAGGACUACCGCCUGACUUCCUUUUUAUUUAACAUGAAGUGCAAAUUUAUUAUCCGAGUGCGCAUUACUAGUCUGCUCAUGUGCAUCAUGUUUGCAUUUGUUAUAUCUUAUGUCCAAACUGUCUUGCGAGUACAUUCAAAGUACUCACCUGGCUUGUUGAUUUGGCUAGAUGUUGACGAAGGCGAUCUUAUGGAUGAAGAGUACGAUAGCGAGUCCGACGCCUAGAGGAGUCCCAGUCAGUCCCGUGCGAUCCUGGAGUUGGUCACUUGUAUUAUAUACGCUUCCGCUACCCUAAUAAAAUCAUCGAGCCUCACUCCAGCGCUUGAUGUGCUGUAAGAUUUUGGAGUCAUGUCACCCACUUCACUGUGAGAUAUCCACCACCAGUUUUAUUACGAGUCAGUAGUUAUGCCACCAUAACCUUUGUGUCAUAUCCGCCUUUAUGUAUAAUAUCGGCGUGCUUGUAAUAAAUUGUUGAGCAGCCUCAGGUCAACCUUGUAUAAUAUUUAGUACUUCUGGAUUUCUGUAUCAAGGAUUUGUCUACCAAUAAGGAGGAUUCUUCUAUACUGGUAUGAUACAAUGGUCGGUUUUUUUCACUAAAUGUUUUAUUGGAAAACCGGUCCUAACAACCUUGGUAUCAGAGCCAGGCUGAUUGUAGGAAGCCACUAGGUGCGAUCGCUAAUCGGUUAUUAGCGUAAUAAGUGUUAUUUUUAACAUUUUGCAAAUGUAGCAAUUUUUUGUUAGUCAUCAUAAAUUUAUGAGUUGACUAUUCGGAAUUCUUGUCUACCUUUGUAGAUGGCUGGCAGCAACUGUGAGUCACAGGUGUUCGCCAAUGUACCUGAGGGGUUUAUCAAGCUUCUCGUCUCCAUCACCAAGGUCGUGAUCAGGCCAUCGACUCGUCCGGAGUUCACACUCUACCAGCACAAGAUCAGCGACAUCAUGUCUAUGCACCAGGCCGCGGUGCAAUUCAAGGGAGGACAUUCUGAGUCACGCCGCUUUGGAUUUGUGGGAAGGGCCAUGCCUACGGAGAGGCAUGCCAUGCAGAUGGCUGCCCGUGAGGCGAUAGCUCGUCUUCGGGAUGCCCUCCCUUCGAUGAAGGCUCGUCGCUACCACUACCUCCCUUGCCACGUGCCAUACACUUGUCACUAGGCAUUCGCUUGCGCUAGGGGGGAGAGAGAUGAGGCUAUUGAAAUGUUGGUUGAGUAUCUCAAAGCUCUUGAGGCAGCUUUUGAUAACCUCGUGGACGACUUUGUGGCUGCUCGUAUGGACUUAGUUCAGGGUUGUUCCGCCAACAGGAGGGAGCUCCUCCAUACAGCACCACCACUGACUUACGUCUCGUCCUCAGCAUCCUAUACACCUGCCAUCUUAGCCACCGCUCGCCGCCUGCCUACCACUGAGGAGUUUGACCAAGUUAUUGCUCCUACUCCAGUCAGUGCUGCACCACCUGCCGCGCCUGCACCAGCUCCUCAACCCAAUACUUCGCGCCUGGAGCCUAUUAGUGAGGAGGAGGUUGAGUCUCCAGCAUAACUGGGUCUUACCCUCGGCAGGCCAAGGGAAGUUUUUACCAUCUCCGACUGAGUGCGCCUAGCAGCCGUGCGAUGUACCAGCUUGUAUGAUAUGUUUAUAUGUAUAUAGGUUUGGUGAGAAGUAGUUUGUGUGCGCAUCAUGUAGGAACUCGGAGAAGUGCACUAGCCUAAAUAACAUGUCAGGAAUGUGUACGCACAUCCUGAGUGAUGUAUUGUAUAAUUACGGCUUGCGUGUAAGAUAUGUACUGAGCGGUCCUUCUCCAUGCGCAAUCAAGUAUUUUCUUGAAAAAUCUUGGAGUUAUAAAAAAAUCUGCCUUUGUAAAAAUUAAUUAUUUUUGCCACUCAGUUUUUCUCUUGAAUUCUGCAAAAAUACCCCAGAGUGGAAAAUGCCUCGUCCCUGGACUCGUUUCAUGCGAAGUCUGCUGGAAGAAAAUUAUGAUACCCAAACAAGUAACAAUUUCACACAGGGGCAGUCAAGUCAGCAAGGCAGUGAAGCAACAUUUUCUCAAGUAUGCCGCCUUUAUGAGCAAAGCCAACAGCAGCAUCAAGAAAUGAUGAAUGAUGUUAUCAAUAUGGGAAAUCACCGUGAACCAUAUCAGCAGCAUUCCAAAUUGUCUGAACUACAAAAGACACGUCCCCCAACGUUAUCUCACACUGAUAGACCUCUUGAGGCCGAUGAUUGGCUUCGAGACAUUGAAAGGAAGUUAAUUAUUGCAUAAUGUUCGGACCGUGAGAAGGUACUUUAUGCACCUCACUACCUCACUGGAGCAGCUGCAUCAUGGUGGGAAAAUUUCCUACACAUGCACCCCAAUGAAAAUAACAUCACCUAGGAAGAAAUUAAAGAAGGUUUUCGUGGGGCGCACAUUCCCAGAAGCAUUAUGAGGAUCAAGAAAAGGGAGUUUGAUGACCUCAAGCAGAGAAGCAUGACAGUGACUGGGUACAAUAGUCAGUUUACUCAAUUAUCUCGUUAUGCCAACGAAGAGCAUAUGAUUGAAAAUAAAAAGAUGGAAAAAUUUCUGGACGGUCUGGCACUAGCACUUAAAUGCUAGCUGGUCGUACACACCUUUCCAGAUUUCAAAACACUUGUGGACAAAGCUAUUACAUUGGAAAAUGAGCGCCGCAGCUUGGAGGAUUUUCACAAGCGUAAAAGGGACAAGACUACUCAUGCUCGCAACAACCGGAACAAGACUGAUUUUCAGAAAAUUGGAGCGAACAAAUCCACAACCAUUGUUCCAUGCCCAAACAAAAACUUUCAUGCAAGAGACAAGGAUUUUACAUAUCACCCAGGUGUUACUUGCUACACUUGUGGAGAGGAAGGACACUAUGCCAAACAGUGCCCAAAGCCAAGAAACUCGGCCCCCAAGCCGAACACUACUAAAACCCUAUACACAGAAUCUUAGCAGCAUCGCGGCUCAAAAAGGAGCACUGCUGCUAAUUAGCAGUAGCGCGGGUGUGGAAAACCCGCUACUGACAAGUGCUUAGCAGUAGCGCGCUCGACGUAACCCGCGCUGCUACAAAUAUCGACCGACAGUGCCCACCCAACUCCAUUUAACAGAUGCGCGGUGCCGCAAGCAGCGCUACUGCUAUAGUUGUAGCAGUAGCACUGUUUUUCUGAGGUCGCUGCUGCUAAUUUUCAAAUCGGGCACACUUUUGGUCCCGGUUAGCAGUAGCGCUUGUACCGAAAGUGCGCUGCUGCUACUUUCUUAGCAGCAGCGCAUUUUAUGUACCGCACUACUGCUAAUCCGCACCCACCACCUUUUCCCCACCCGUCCUCCCCCUCCCCCAAAUCCCUCCUCUCUUCCGUCACUCCCUCCUCUCUCUCUCCAUAUGUUCUCACAUUGACCUCUUGCCCAUGCGCCCCUCCUCCUCCAUGGCACUGAAAGAGGGCGCCGCCUCGCGCCACCGGCGCCUAGGAGCUCGCCGGUCUUCCACCGGCGUCUAGGAGGCCGCUGCCUCGCACCACCACGCCGGAGACCUAACCACCGGUGACCAGCCCCGCUACUCCCUCCAUCUGCUUCCUCUCUCCCUCGGUUUUCUUUCUCUCUCUCUCCCUCUGGUUUGACUCACAAUCCCAUGUCCAUGCCCGUGCAGGUAGUCGCCAUGGACGACCAUAUCUGGCAUGGUCGGGAAGAGGAGCCCCAUGCCGCUGCCUUGCUCUUCCAUGGAAACAGGCCCUCCUCCAACAGCCACCGUCGGAUCUAGUCUGUCGCUGCUCAUUCAUGCCUCCGGCGACCCCAACCAUCGCUGGAUCGAACAACUGCUGCCAUUGACAACGUGCACGGGAUCGAGAUAUUUUUUUUGCUUUUGAAAGUAAUAGUAGUAGCGCGGGGUAUAAGACCCGCUAUAGAUAAUUAGCAGUAGCAUUGUACUGCAACGCACACUACAGCUAACCAUGUAUAGUAGUAGCGCGUGUCAACACGCGCUACUGCUACAAGUUAGUUGUGGCGCCGUAUCAAUAGCACGGGUGCCCGCGCUACUGAUACACCCAAAACCCGUGCUACUGCUAGGCUUUUCCCUAGUAGUGGAACAACAGUGGAAAUAAUUCAACACCCAAGCAUAACAACUUCAACCCCAAUAACAAUCACAAGAAGGGUCACUUGAACCAUGUGACCAAGGAGGAAGCACAGAAUGCCCCGGAUAUCAUGCUCGGUACGUUCCCUGUCAACACAAUACCUGCCACGGUUUUGUUUGAUUCUGGAGCUUCUCACUCGUUCAUUUCAAAAAAAUUGCUUUGCAACAUGAUUUUUCGAUGCUUCCCUUGGAAAAAUCCAUGACCAUCAAGUCCCUCGGGAUUAAGCAAAUCACUUAGAGUUACUGCCAAGGUGUGGUUAUUGAGAUUGAGGGAUGAAAGUUUCAGGAAAAUCUCAUUGUAUUGGAAAAUAAGGGACCGGAUGUUAUCCUAGGAAUGGACUGGUUAACCACCAACAAGGGAUUUAUCGACUGCUUCAAUCAGACUGUAAUUCUUACUCAUCAUCAUGGGAAGAUGAUAAAAACUGCAUCUCAAGAAAGACCAAUAUCACGGCAACCAAGGUUGAACAAGGUGGACAUUUCAGAGUUAAGAAAAGUUCCAGUGGUGUGUGAGUUCCCUGACGUAUUUCCCGAAGAACUACCAGGCAUGCCACCAGACUGGGAAAUAGAGUUCAUCAUCGAACUAGCACCUGGAACCACCCCCAUUUACAAGAGACCCUAUAGAAUGGCAUCCUCCGAGUUGGUACAUUAAAGAAGCAAAUAAAAGAAUUACUGGACAAAGAAUUUAUAUGGGCCAGCUCCUCACCUUGGAGUUCACCAGUAUUAUUUGCCAAGAAAAAGGAUGGGACACUAAGAUUAUGUAUAGACUAUCGAGCACUCAACAUGGUCACCAUCAAAAACAAAUAUCCGAUGCCACAGAUAAAUGAUUUAUUUGACCAGCUCGCACAAGCCAAGGUUUUCUAAAAAAUUGAUUUAAGGUCGGGGUAUCAUCAAUUAAAAGUACGGACAGAAGAUAUCCCUAAGACAGCAUUCACCUCUAGAUACAGAUUAUAUGAAUUUACAGUAAUGCCGUUUGGACUGACAAAUGCCCCUGCAUAUUUUGUCCACCUCAUGAACAUAGUGUUUAUGAAAUUUACGGAAAAAUUUGUUGUGGUGUUCAUUGAUGAUAUUCUGGUAUACUCUAAGACACCAGAAGAACAUGCUGAACAUCUCAGAAUUGUACUGUGAGAAUUAAGGAAACAUCAAUUAUACGCCAAAUUCAGCAAAUGUGAAUUUUUGUUAAGACAGGUUGGUUUUCUAGGCCACGUAUUGACCCAAGAAGGUGUUGCCGUGGACCCAGAAAAAGUCAAGGCCGUACUUGGCUGGAAACCACCAGACAACAUAACAGAUGUAUGAAGUUUCCUGGGAAUGUCUGGAUAUUACCGAAGGUUUAUUGAGGGGUUCUCCACCAUAGCAAAACCAACGACACAGUUACUCAAGAAGGAUAAGAAAUUUGUAUGGACCGAAGCUUGUGAGAAAAGUUUCUAAGAACUCAAAAGGAAAUUAACAACAUCACCAGUAUUGGUUGAACCAGACAUACACAAAAGUUUUGAAGUAUAUUGUGACGCAUCCCGGAAGGGCCUCGGAUGCGUACUAAUGCAAGAACGCAAAGUAGUCGCAUACGCUUCCAGGCAACUACGAAAGCAUGAAGAAAAUUAUCCUACUCAUGACUUGGAAUUGGCAGCAGUCAUUCAUGCACUCAAAGAGUGGAGGCACUUUUUGCUUGGAAAUCGUUGUGAAAUAUAUACGGACCAUAAAAGCCUCAAAUAUAUUUUCACACAACUAGAACUCAAUUUACGACAACGACGCUGGUUGGAAUUAGUGAAAGAUAUGAUGUUGGCAUUCACUACCAUCCAGGAAAGGCGAAUGUAGUGCAGAUGCUCUUAGUCGAAACCCCAGAUCGGGCAACGACAGUCUACAGAACUUGAGACCUGAAUUUCAGCAGGAGUUCGCCAAACUCAACUUGGUGAUGGUCAUUGAAGGCAAUGUGUCAAAUUUGGAAAUACAGCCCACCCUAAUGGAACAGAUUAAGAAGGCUCAGCAUGGACACCCCAGCAUUGAAGGCAUAAAAAGAAAAGUGAGUCUGGGCAAGGCUUCAGAAUUCGUCGUAGAUGAUAAGGGAAUAUUAUGGUACAGAGAUAGACUUUGCGUACCAAAUAUAGAGGACCUCAAACAGCAAAUUCUAGCCGAAGGCCACACCGCUCCAUAUUCAAUCCACCCUGGAGGAACCAAAAUGUACAAGGACAUUCAGGAAAAAUUUUGGUGGCACGGUAUGAAGAGGGAUAUAGCCACAUUCAUUGCAUGUUGUGAUUCAUGUCAGCGCAUUAAAGCCGAGCACCAAAAACCAGCAGGACUAUUACAGCCAAACAUGAUACCUGAGUGGAAAUGGGACGAAAUUGGAAUGGAUUUUAUUGUCGGAGUACCUUGGUCACAACACGGAAAUGAUGCCAUAUGGGUCAUCAUAGAUAGAUUAACUAAGGUGGCAAAUUUCAUCCCAGUAAAGACAACCCACACCACUCAGAAGCUUGCCAAACUUUAUCUCUCCCGAAUAGUUUCUCUGCAUGGAAUUCCAAAGACUAUAAUAUCCGACAGAGGCACUCAAUUCAUCUCUAGAUUUUGGUAUCAUUUACAACAACCUCUGGGAACUCAACUAGUAUUCAGUACAACAUACCACCCCCAAACUGGAGGACAAACUGAACAUGUGAACCAAAUUCUAGAGGACAUGCUAAGAGCAUGUGUUCUCACAUAUGGAACCAGUUGGGAAGAAAGCUUGCCGUAUGCCGAGUUCGCAUACAACAACAGUUACCAAGCCAGUCUACAAAUGGCACCUUUUGAAGCCUUGUACGUGUGAAGAUGCCGUACCCCAUUAAAUUGGUCAGAAACAGGAGACAGUCGUAUCUUCGGCCCAGACAUGCUCAAGGAAGCCGAGGAGAAAGUUAGACUAAUCAGGGAUCGACCCAAGACAACCCAGAGCCGACAAAAGAGUUAUUACAAUCAAAAACAUCAUGAAGUCAACUUUGAACCCGGUGAAUAUGUGUAUCUACGAGUAUCUCCUAUGAGGGGCCUGCAACGAUUCAAAGUUAAAGGAAAGCUAGCACCACGGUUUAUUGGACCCUUCUGUGUGAUUGCACGAAGAGGCAUAGUGGCCUACCAGCUAGACCUACCCGAAGAACUGUCAGACGUCCACGACGUGUUCCACGUAUCAUAGUUGAGGAAAUGUGCAAGCAACCCAGAAAAGCAUGUAUCUCACGAGAACAUUGACAUGCAACCAGACCUCACCUACACGGAACAUCCAAUAAAAAUAUUGGAGGAAUCUGAAAGAAGGACCCGUUAGAAAACAAUUAAGUUUUCCAAGGUUCAGUGGAGAAAUCACACCGAGGAUGAAGCAACAUGGGAAAGAGAGGAAUUUCUUCAGACAGAGUACCCACAUCUAUUUGAGGGUCAGCUGAAAUCUCAGGGACGAGAUUUUUCCUAAGGGGGUAGGUGUCGUAACACUCCAAAAUUUUUGAUUUGGUUUUUAUCAAAUUCUUUAAUUAAUUGGAAGGAGGUUAUUUAAAAAAAUAAUUCUAAAAGACUCUCCUUCUCAAAAAAUUUCUUUUAAGACAAAUAUUGUAUGUGUUCUUCCCAACCUUGAUUUUGGUCUUGAUGGUUUUCAUCUUGUGUUGGCUCAACACAAAUACUUUUGGGUGGUUUUACAAAUGUUCUUUUUUUAAAAAAGAAUUCCUAUAAUUUUGGAUUUUAUCCUUCCCUAUUCAAAAGUACUCUUUUGCCAUGGCCUAUGUAGAAAACUUUCUUGCAAAACCCACCUCCCUACUUUGGGUCAAGCCAAGCAUCCAAUUCCAACAAUUUUCAACCUCUUUUAGAUUUUAUUUCUAUUUAUUUUAUCCUCAAACCUUUUUCUGUAAUUUAUUUUGGACUCCUGGGAUUUACAAAGGAGGUACCAGAUUCCUUAAGUUUCUAAGACCAAGUAACUUACCCUAGCUACUCCUUAGUACCCUCAACCUAGAUCCAUCAAGAUCUGUUGGUCCACAGUUCAAAUUUUUCAAAAUUUACUUGCUGCAAGUUUGGAAUAGAUUUGCCAUUUUUGGUGAAAUUGAUUCUUUUCCUUUUCCAAAAAUUCUGAGAAAAUUUAGGCAGUCUCUGGAUGCAUCAAGAGGCCAUCCCACCAAGUUUCAGUUCAAGAAAAAUUUUCCACGUGCGUCAAACAUUUCGUCGAACAGCUGGUGUGCACUGUUCCUGUUCAAAUUCAGAGUUUCAGUGUUAAGCUUCAGUCAUUAGUGUCGAUUUCUUCAGAGCUUGGCGUCAAUCUCGCCAGUGCUCGCCCUGGCCUCUUGCUCCCUGUUCCCCCUCCUUAUCCAGUGCGCCCGCACGGUUGUUUGUCCGGUCGCGAGUGUCAGUGGCGACGUGUCACGUCAACCCCGGCGCCUCCCGCGGUGGCAGAACCGCCCGUGGCAGCCAGCAGGGGCCAGCCCUGCAGUACGGCGCCGUCCAGCACCGCCCACACCACCAGGAGCUUCCGCGUGGCUGUCCUCUUCUCUGUGCGCGCCGCAGAACCGUCGCCAUGGCCUGAGAGGCGCAGAGCGCGCUCUCUGUCGCCGACGAGCCCAUGAGCUCCGUUCCGUCGAAGCCAUGGGAGCAGGCCAAAUCUGAUCAAGUUUAGCUGUUGAAUGGAGCCAGUGGACCAAUCCGCCGCUGCCCAGUCACCUAAGCCGUCAGCUCGACCACCACCUCGCCGUAAUUGCUCGCCGAAGAAAUCCCGUUCUCGGCAACCGCCUCGGGCCGGCUAUAAAUGGAGGCCCCGAGCUCGCCUUCGACCCAGCACCACUCCUCCACCUCACCAGAACCGUGCCCAGCCGCUAGGAGAACCUCGAGGAGGCCUUCUUCCCCGACUCCGGUCGCCCCGAUCCGCUUCGGGCUCCGGAAAGAUUCUCUCUACUGAGUGCACCCCCGCUCCCCAAACCGUGCCAGUAGCAUCCUAGUGCACCCGCUUGCCUGACCCGCGCUUCAAUUUGGAGUUUGUAGCUCCCUUCAGAGAGAAUCAUCCUUGACCGAACCACCGUCCGCCGGAGUGGAGACCGCCGUCGACGUGGUGCUCGCCGACGACCAACUCCACCACCCACAGACGCGGGAGAACUCUGUGAAUCCAUAGGUACCUUCCACUCCCCCUACCUCGCCGUGGAUCGACACCGGCGACCACCGCGAGCCUCGGGUGCCGGUGGGACUCUGUUCUCAAUUUCAAACCUGACGGGUGGGACCCCCUCAUCAGCCUCACCGUCCCCCUUCGAACCGUUUUCCGUUGGCACCUUCGGCCCGGAUACAUUUUCCCCUCUGGAAGGCGUAUUCCAACUGAAGCGUUUUCUAUUUUUCUAAACUAGCCCCUGGAAAGUUUCUGUUUCAUCACAGAUUAGUCCCUGGACUAAAACCUUUAUAACUUCUAAACAAAAGAUGAUUUUGAGCUGAUUCUUUUUCUGUCAUCUUUAUUUUUCUAUCUAGUUUUUUUUAUCAUAUUUAUUUGAAAAAUAUUUGGAACAAUUUUUAUGCACGCAUGGUAUUUACGUUAGUAUCCGAUUUCUUUUAUAACAUAGAUACUGAAGGAGGUGACGGAGCCGCAAACUUCGCCGAGCUAGACUCCGACUACUCCGAACCAGGCAAGCAUGUUUGAACCUUUGAUAUGAUGAGUGUUUUUCAUGAUUUCUUAAGUGGUUUUCUCAUGACAUGUUUACGUAAGCAUUUGUGAAUGUUAUAUUUCAUGCAAGAAAGCUGCAAGUGAGCUUUGAAAUUCGAUGUGUUCAUAUGAUGGUGAGAUAACCUGAUCAUGUGGUGGCAUGAUAGGUCGCAAGCUGGUAUUGUUGAAGCAUGCCAGUUUUAUAUCAACUGUUUAACUCCAGUAUUAACAUGGAUCAAGUCUUCUUCCCGUUAGUUCCCUUCCGUGCUACCACAUGUUUUGUGCAAAGAAUACGGUUUAGUAAGUUGCAAACCUCUUUCCCUGUACACACUAAAUAGAGGGGCCGUGAUGAGGGUUCCAUGGCCCUGGAUUAAAGCCCGUCAUCCGGUCAGGGGGCAUGGGUGUUUCUGGUUGGGACCGAGAGGGAGGCACCCCUUAGAGCGCGCGAUACAAAUUUGAUCCCAUGCCAUUCGAGGUUGUAGCCUCCCCGUCUUAGAGUUUUUCUUGAACGUUGCCUAGGGUGAUUCCUGGCAGCGGAAUGUGGAAUGGGUGUGUACUGGUUAGAUGUGUUUCUUCUAAAAUACCAUAAACGGAACUAGUCCUUUGAGACUACCGAAAUCCGUUGGCUGUGGGUAAAGAGCACAAACUCUGCAGAGUCAAAACCAUUCGAGUAACCAUGUCCAUUGUCAUGGACUUUGACCAACAUAUCAGUGUCAGUCUCAGUAUCGGUCUCAGUGACAGUCUCCAGAGAAUAAGCAUGAAACUGAGAGUGGUAAACCCGGCAUUCCGAGUUUAUUGUCAUGUACCGAGUAUUCCGUGGAAUGAUGUUACCUUCAUGAGCUACUUGAAUUCAAAUGAUGAGAUAUAAGCCCUUUAUGUGAUGUCGCUCAGACGUCCAACUGUGGCAUUCUUGUUAUUUACUUUGAUAUAAGCCCUUUAUGUGAUGUUGCUCAGACGUCCAACUGUGGCAUUCUUGUUUAUUUACUUUUGUUAUAAGCCCUUUAUGUGAUGUUGCUCAGGCGUCCGACUGAGGCAUUCUUGUUAUUUACUUUUGAUACAAGCCCUUUAUGUGAUGUCUCUCAGACGUCCGAUUGUGGCAUUCUUGUUAUUUACUUUUGAUGUAAGCCCUUUAUGUGAUGUCGCUCAGACGUCUGACUGUGGCAUCCUUGUUAUUUACUUUCAUUAUAAGCCCUUUUCGAGAUGUCGCUUAGACAUCCGAAUGUGGCACGUACUGUCAUUUAUGUUUUAAUAUAAGCCCUUUAUGUGGUGUCGCCCUGACGCCCGACUGUGGCAUGUUAAUUUAUUUUACCUUUCGAGGCGUCGCUUCAGACACCCGAUCGGUUUUCAGCUAUUUUAUUGGGAUUUCGGGAGGACUACCGCCUGACUUCCUUUUUAUUUAACAUGCAGUGCAAAUUUAUUAUCUGAGUGCGCAUUACUAGUCUGCUCAUGUGCAUCAUGUUUGCAUUUGUUUUAUCUUAUGUCCAAACUGUCUUGUGAGUACAUUCAAAGUACUCACCUGGCUUGUUGAUUUGGCCAGAUGUUGACGAAGACGAUCUUAUGGAUGAAGAGUACGAUAGCGAGUCCGACGCCUAGAGGAGUCCCAGUCAGUCCCGUGCGAUCCUAGAGUUGGUCACUUGUAUUAUAUACGCUUCCACUACCCUAAUAAAAUCAUCGAGCCUCACACCGGCGCUUGAUGAGCUGUUAGAUUUUGGAGUCAUGUCACCCACUUCACUGUGACAUAUCCACCACCACUUUUAUUACGAGUCAGUAGUUAUGCCACCAUACCCUUUGUGUCAUAUCCACCUUUAUGUAUAAUAUCGGCGUGCUUGUAAUAAAUUGUUGAGCAGCUUCAGCUCAACCUUGUAUAAUAUUUAGUAGUUCUGGAUUUCUGUAUCAAGGAUUUGUCUACCAGUAAGGAGGAUUCUUCUAUACUGGUCUGAUACAAUGGUCGGGUUUUUUCACUAAAUGUUUUAUUGGAAAACCGGUCCUGACACUAGCGGACCGGUGCUGUAGGCAACUGAGCUAUAGCGCAUGUUGGCAAAACGCGCUAUAGCUAAGUUAGCUAUAGCGCUGGUCUAGCAAUAAUGCGCUACUGCUAUUUUUUCCUUUUUUUCUUUUUCCUUUUUCUUUUUCUUAGCUAUAGCGCUGCCCAGGAUAAAACGCGCUACUGCUAACUUUUUUUAUUUUUUAUUUUUAUUUUUUAUUUUUCUUGGAUUUCAUUUUCCACAACUUAUUAGUUCCUUUUUCUUUUUCUUUUCAUUUCAUUUUGCAAAAAAUCCUUUCUUUUUCUUUCAUUUGCACUUUUCUUUUUCUUAUCUUCUUUUGUACUUUCCUUCCUUUAAUUUGGUCUGUCGUUUGAGCAAUACCACUGUUACCCUCCGGAUAAUAAUUAGUAUAAUAUAUCUUACAUCAUUUGACCGCUAUCGGUGGUAUACAAAAUAGAUAGACACACACAAACUUUGGGGAUUAGUCUGUCAGCUUGGGCGACAACGACGCUUCAGACUGAUCUUCUUCCCUCUUUUGUUUGUUGUCGAAUAAUUGAGCCCAUGGUCGUGACUUUUCCUUCUCCAGCGAUUAUGAUCUUUCGUAGGUAAUGUAGUAUUCAUUCUUGUUUUGACGUAUGUUUCCUCGUCAUCAGCAUCAUCUUCCCUCAUCGGAUCACCGUACUGGUCAUAGUCUUCCUCGUUGGCGACUCCAUCCAUUCCGGCGAUGCUCCUUUUGCUUCUCCUCACGACAACACGGCUGGGAUUGAUCGGAUCAGUUAUGAAGAAACAUUGUGUCACAUGUUUAGCGUGUACCCAUGGCUCAUUUUUUGGCGAUGGCGUUGACGGUACCGCUAUCGGAGUCGGGUAUACACAUGGUAGUGAAAUGUCGGUUUUCUCUGUGUACAUUCUUAGCCCAUCUAAAACGAACAUCGUCCCGCUAUGCAAUCCAGAGUAGUUAAGCUCCCAUAUCUCUUUGACCCUUCCAUAAUAUCUUUCAAUUACAUUCUCGGUCAUGGCUUCCAUCGUCACCCCUGAGUUUUGGUCGUCACUGUUUAUAUCUUUCUCCUCCGUGUAGAACGUGUAUCCGUUGAUAUCGUAUGCUUGAUAAGUCACGAGGUUGGUCGAGGGGCCAUGUGCUAAGGUGUAUAUAUAUAUGAGUGUUCCGUUCGGACAACCCUCUUCCGGGGGAUUAGCUAGAACUCGCUCUUUGAACCAAUGCACGUAAGUGGAGUUGUGCUCUCUAAUAACUUCAGCGUCCGUCCUGUGCACCCCAUGGGCACGGUACUUCUUUGCGAUGGUCUCUUUGUGCAGUGUCACAAAAUCUUCUAGCACAUCUAGGUGUUGUAGCACUACUAAGUUUGCCCUGUCAAGGUCGUUUUGUCGGCCCGAGCGUAACACAUUCACAUCCCUAUGACCCUUGGUGUGACCUUCGCCUUCGAGCCUUCCAUAGUGCUUGUUGACGGGCAAACCAACAACAGGGUCUUUGGUCAGAUAACUCUCAUAGAAAGAGAUGCACUCUUUGGUCAAAUAUCCCUGGGCUAUUCUUCCAUCUGGACAGAACAUGUUACGAACGAAUCCUUUGAUGACCUCAUUCAUCCUCUCGAACGACAUCAUGCUAUGCAGGAAUGUCGGCCCUAGGUCGAUGAUGUCGUCCACGAUGUGGACACAUAGAUGCACCAUGACAUCAAAGAACGCGGGCGGGAAGUACAUCUCUAACUCAUUCAGUAUGACAAAAAUCUCUUCCUGUAGCCUAUGGAGUUGCUUCACACUGAUCGACUUUCGAGAUAUAGCAUCAAAAAAGUGGCAUAGGUUAGUAAGCAUCUCACACACAUGUGUGUCCAUAAUCCCUCUAAGUGCAACCGGGAGUAACUGCAUCAUCAUCACAUGAUAGUCGUGAGACUUCAUCCCACUGAACCUUUUUUUCUUAGUGUCCAGAUAUCUGCUUAUCUUCCCACAGUAUCCGGAACUAACUUUGAUUCUGGCAAGGCACUUGAACAAUUGAUCGACCUCCUUCGGAUCUAAGGUGACGCAAGAGGGGGGCAAUAUUGUUCUUCCUUCUUGUUUACUUUUUUGCCCCUAUCUUCCGUCUCUGUCUCGGUCUCCUCUGACUUUUUACCGGGCAUUUGGAGAUAUUUCCUGAUAUUCAAAAAUUCCAAGUCUUUUUUUGCCUUUGGCCCAUCCUUGGUCCUCUCUGGCAUGAUCAUCAAUGUUCCAAGCGAACUCUCAAGGAUAUUUUUUGUGAUAUGCAUUUGAUCAAGGCUAUGAGGCGUGUCGAGUAUGGGCUAGUAUUCCAUGUCCCAGAAAACAGAUCUCGUCUUCCAUAUCUUCAGCAAGGGCUCCGGCGCCUUUUUCUUCGUCUUUCCCGGCGAGGGGCACUCUUCCCAGUUCUUCAAUAACUCAUAUAUUUCUGCACCACUACGCUUACAUGGAGGACCUUGAUGCUCAGCCUUACCAUUGGAUAGAUCUCCAUGCUUUCUCCAUGGGUCAUCCUUCUCGAGCCAUCUUCGAUGCCCCAUGUACAUGAUUUUCGAAGACCCACCAUCUUUCGAUAGCUGCAGAGAAGUCGUAUCGUCCAUGCACCUCGUGCAUCCACAAUAUCCGUGGCACACCUGGCCGGAGAGAUAGCCGUAACCGAGAUAGUCCUGCACUGCCGUGAUUAGCACGGCUCUCAUGUAGGAACACUACUAGGAAAAUGCCUAUAGAUAGAAGUUUACCAGUAGUGUUUGUUUGCAACCCAACGCUACUAGUAGUUAGUAGUAGCGCUGGCUACAAAUAGCGCUAUUGGUAUCAGUUACCAGCAGCGCUUGUUACCUAGGCCCACGCUACUACUAAGUGUAACACACCACACCCCCUGGUCAAAACAUAGCAGCAGCGCCUGUCCUCCAACCUGCGCUAUUGCUAGUUUAGGAUCUAUAGCGCAUGUUUGUCUAAGCGCGCUACUGCUAAUUUUUCUAUGUAUAACAUUUUACCAGUAGCGUGUGUUUCUGACCCGCGCUAUAAGUAGUGCAACCCUAGCCAUAGCUAUUUUGCAAGCUUCCAUAGCAGUAGCGCGUGUGGGUGACCCGCGCUACUGCUAUGCCCGCCAGCCACCUACCACCUUUCCCCUUCUUCCUCCCCUCUCUUCUUCCCCCUUCCUUUCUCCCCCUUUCCUUGCACCUUGCUUGUUCCUUUCAAUCCUCCCCCACCACCACCCCUCCAUNNNNNNNNNNNNNNNNNNNNNNNNNNNNNNNNNNNNNNNNNNNNNNNNNNNNNNNNNNNNNNNNNNNNNNNNNNNNNNNNNNNNNNNNNNNNNNNNNNNNNNNNNNNNNNNNNNNNNNNNNNNNNNNNNNNNNNNNNNNNNNNNNNNNNNNNNNNNNNNNNNNNNNNNNNNNNNNNNNNNNNNNNNNNNNNNNNNNNNNNNNNNNNNNNNNNNNNNNNNNNNNNNNNNNNNNNNNNNNNNNNNNNNNNNNNNNNNNNNNNNNNNNNNNNNNNNNNNNNNNNNNNNNNNNNNNNNNNNNNNNNNNNNNNNNNNNNNNNNNNNNNNNNNNNNNNNNNNNNNNNNNNNNNNNNNNNNNNNNNNNNNNNNNNNNNNNNNNNNCCCCCUCUUCUUUUCCCUCCUCCCACUUCCAUUAAUGCCUUCCCUCUUCUCUCCCUCUCCUCUCCCACUAUCUCCCUAGAUAGCUAGCUCUCUCUCUCUCCCUAGCUAGCUAGCUAGUUAGAGCUAUAUAUCUAGAGCUACUAGGUAAUUAAGAAGAAAGGUGCUCGAUAUCCCUCUCGACACAUAGGUGAGCAAAAAAAGGUGUUUGUGUGGACAGGACCAAAACUAUAUAUAUAUGGGCGAUAUGAGAAUAUAUAUACCGAAUUGUGUGUGGCAUAAUUUGAGUUGCCUACAUUGUGUAUUUGAUGAAAUAAUGUGGGUGACAUGAGUUGCCUAUGUUUUGCCGAAUUGUCGAUUCAAUUCUGUUUCGGCGAAUUUCGGGCAUGCAAACUCAAUAUGCCCUAUGUUUAGGGAAGGUCAUGCCGAAUUUUUGUAUGAAUUUGAUCCAUGCAUGCAUAUAUACGUGGUUAUAAUAUUUGCUCCGCCCGCAGGUGAUCAUGAAGGUCAAUGGAAGGAUGGUGGAAAGAUACUGGCAAUCCGCUGUGGAUGACAUGUAUGAAAAAAGACUGAGGGAUGUUUUAUGUCCGUGUCGAAAAUGCAAAGGAAGAGUCAGGCUUGACCCCUUUCAGGGUGGUAAAUUCAAGGUGCACCUAUUCAUGCAUGGUUUCAUGCAUGGCCAUACUCGAUGGAUAAGUUAAGAUGAUGAUGAUGAUGAGGAGGAGGACGUCAACGGGGCAGGAAAUAACGACAUGGGGCCACCAGACGAAGAGAUGACCGAUUAUGUGCCUGAAGAGAUGACCCACAUGUUCGAGACCUGCUUCGCAAGAAGACGACUAGCGAUAGAGCUGCUUCUAGAGAGGAGGCCAAACUGGCGCAACUGGAGGUAGACUCGAUGACUCCUUUGUAUGAUGGUUGCAAUAAUCCCGAGGUUACCCGCUUGAGUUUCACACUAGAACUUCUAAAGAUGAAGGAAAGAAAUAAAUGGACAGAUACAAGCCUGGAUGAGCUUCUAAAGUACCUAAAGAAGGUUCUUUCCGCGGGAAGCCUGUGUCCUACUAGUGUCAAGGAGGCAAAGAAAAUCGUGUGCCCUCUUGAUCUGCCACAUAUUAGAUAUCACAAAUGCAUCAAUGAUUGCAUCAUAUAUCGGAACGAGCAUGCGGAAAAAACCAUCUGUCCAAAGUGCAAUGCUUCAUGAUAUAAAAAGGCCGGAAAGAAAGCUCGACAGAAAGCUGUAUGGUACUUUCCGAUCACUCCGCAUCUACAACGGUAUUUCAUAGAUCCUAAGGAAGCAAAGCUUAUGCGCUGGCAUGCGGAGAGGGUGAAGCCAGAUGAAGGAGAUGAACCUAAGCUGAGACACCUUGCAGAUGCUAGCCAAUGGAGAACAUUAAAUGCUGAAUUUGAAUUUUUCACAAAUGAUCCAAGGAACAUCGUGCUUGGCGCUAGUAGUGAUGGCAUGAAUCCAUUUGGCAACCAGAACACCAAUCAUAGCACAUGGCCCGUGUUUGUAUGGAUGUACAACCUCCCCCUGGUUGUGCAUGAAGGAAAAAUACAUACACAUGGCUAUGCUUAUUCAAGGGCCGAGACAACCGGGAAAUGAUAUAAAUCUGUAUCUCGGGUUACUGAAAGAGGAGUUAGAGACCUUAUGGACAACGCCGGCCAAGACAUGGGAUGCAAGCAAAGGAGAGUAUUUCUACAUGAGAGCCACGCAAAUCAUGACGAUGCAGGACUAUCUCGGUUACGGCUAUCUCUCCGGCCAGGUGUGCCACGGAUAUUGCGGAUGCAAGAGGUGCAUGGAUGAUACAACUUCUCUGCAGCUAUCGAAAGAUGGCGGGUCUUCGAAAAUCAUGUACAUGGGGCAUCAAAGAUGGCUCAAGAAGGAUGACCCAUGGAAAAAGUGUGGAGAUCUAUUCAAUGGUAAGGCUGAGCAUCGAGGUCCUCCAUGUGAGCAUAGCGGUGCAGAAAUAUAUGAGUUAUUGAAGAACUCGGAAGAGUGCCCCUCGCCGGGAAAGACGAAGAAAAAGGCGCCGGAGCCCCUGCUGAAGAUAUGGAAGACGAGAUCUGUUUUCUGGGACUUGGAAUACUGGCCCAUACACGACACGCCUCAUAGCCUUGAUCAAAUGCAUAUCACAAAAAAUAUCCUUGAGAGUUUGCUUGGAAAAUUGAUGAACAUGCCGGAGAGGACCAAGGAUGGGCCGAAGGCAAGAAAAGACUUGGAUUUCUAAAAAUCAGGAAAGAUCUCCAAAUGCCCGGUAAAAGAUCGUCAGUGGAGACGAAGACGGAGACGGAGACGGAAGAUAGGGGCAAAAAAGUAAACAAGAAGGAAGAACAAUAUUGCCCCCCCUCUUGCUUCACCUUAGAUCCGAAGGAGGUCGAUCGAUUGUUCAAGUGCCUUGCCGGAAUCAAAGUUAGUUCCGGAUACUGUGGGAAGAUAAGCAUAUAUCUGGACACUAAGAAAAAAGGUUCAGUGGGAUGAAGUCUCACGACUGUCAUGUGAUGAUGACGCAGUUACUCCCGGUUGCACUUAGAGGGAUUAUGGACACACAUCUGCGUGAGACGCUUACUGACCUAUGCCACUUUUUUGAUGCCAUCUCUCGAAAGUCGAUCAGUGUGAAGCAACUCCAUAGGCUACAGGAAGAGAUCGUUGUCAUACUGAAUGAGCUAGAGAUGUACUUCCCGCCCACAUUCUUUGAUGUCAUGGUGCAUAUAUGUGUCCACAUCGUGGACGACAUCAUCGACCUAGGGCCGACAUUCCUACAUAGCAUGAUGCCGUUCGAGAGGAUGAAUGGGGUCAUCAAAGGAUUCAUUCGUAACAUGUCCCGUCUAGAUGGAAGCAUAGCCCAUGGAUAUCUGACCAAAGAGUGCAUCUCUUUCUGUGAGAGUUAUCUAACCAAAGACCCUGUUGUUGGUUUGCCCGUCAACAAGCACUGUGGAAGGAUCGAAGGCGAAGGUCACACCAACGGUCAUAGGGAUGUGAAUGUGUUACGCUCGGGCCGACAAAACGACCUUGACAGGGCAAACUUAGUAGUGCUACAACACCUAGAUGUGCUAGAAGAUUUCGUGACACUGCACAAAGAGACCAUCGCAAAGAAGUACCGUGACCGUGGGGUGCACAGGACGGACGCUGAAGUUAUUAGAGAGCACAACUCCACUUUCUUGCGUUGGUUCAUAGAGCAAGUUCUGGCCAAUCCCCCAGAAGAGGGUUGUCUAAACGGAACACUCAUAUAUGCCUUAGCACAUGGCCCCUCGACCAACCUCGCGACUUAUCAAGCAUACGAUAUCAACGGAUACACGUUCUACACGGAGGAGAAAGAUAUAAACAGUGAUGACCAAAACUCAGGGGUGACGAUGGAAGCCAUGACCGGGAAUGUAAUUGAAAGAUAUUACCGAAGGGUCGAAGAGAUAUGGGAGCUUAACUACUCUGGAUUGCAUAGCGCGGCGAUGUUCCGUGUCAGAUGGGCUAAAAAUGUACACAGAGAAAACCGACAUUUCACUACCAUGUGUAUACCCGACUCCGAUGAUAGCGGUACCAUCAAUGCCAUCGCCAAAAAUGAGCCAUGGGUACACGCUAAACAUGUGACACAAUGUUUCUUCAUAACUGAUCCGAUCAAUCCCAGACGUGUUGUCGUGAGGAGAAGCAAAAGGAGCAUCGCCGGAAUGGAUGGAGUCGCCAACGAGGAAGAUAAUGACCAGUACGGUGAUCCGUUGAGGGAGGAUGAUGCUGAUGACGAUGAAACAUAUGUCAAAAGAAGAAUGAAGACUACAUUACCUACGAAAGAUCAUAAUCCCUGGAGAAGGAAAAGUCACAACCAUGGGCUCAAUUAUUCGACAAUGAACAAACGAGGGAAGAAGAUAAGUCUGAAGCGUCGUCGUCGCCCAAGCUGACAAACUAAUUCCAAAGUUUAUGUGUGUCUAGCUAUAUUGUAUACCGCCGAUAGCGAUCAAAUGAUGUAAGAUAUAUAUAUAUAUAUGUAUUAUACUAAUUAUUAUCCGGAGGGUAACAAUGGUAUAUUGCAAAAUUAAAGAAAAAGAAAAAGAAAAGUGCAAAUGAAAGAAAAAGAAAAAGAAAAAGAAAGAAGUUUUGCAAAAUGAAAUGAAAAGAAAAAGAAAAAGGAACUAAUAAGUUGUGGAAAAUGAAAUGCAAGAAAAAGAAAAAAAUAAAAAUAAAAAUAAAAAAUAAAAAAUAAAAAAUAAAAAAGUUAGCAGUAGCGCUUUUUAUCCAGGGAAGCACUAUAGCUAAGAAAAAGGAAAAUAAAAAAAGAAAAAUAAAAAAGAAAAAAACUAGCAGUAGCGCGUUUUUGCUGGACCAGCGCUAUAGCUAACUUAGCUAUAGCGCGUUUUGCCAACACGCGCUAUAGCUAAGUUAGCUAUAGCACCGGUCCGCUAGCCCCCUCUUUCUUGUCUCUCUCACUUGCUCCGCUCGUCGAUCCCCUCUGAUGCCACCGNNNNNNNNNNNNNNNNNNNNNNNNNNNNNNNNNNNNNNNNNNNNNNNNNNNNNNNNNNNNNNNNNNNNNNNNNNNNNNNNNNNNNNNNNNNNNNNNNNNNNNNNNNNNNNNNNNNNNNNNNNNNNNNNNNNNNNNNNNNNNNNNNNNNNNNNNNNNNNNNNNNNNNNNNNNNNNNNNNNNNNNNNNNNNNNNNNNNNNNNNNNNNNNNNNNNNNNNNNNNNNNNNNNNNNNNNNNNNNNNNNNNNNNNNNNNNNNNNNNNNNNNNNNNNNNNNNNNNNNNNNNNNNNNNNNNNNNNNNNNNNNNNNNNNNNNNNNNNNNNNNNNNNNNNNNNNNNNNNNNNNNNNNNNNNNNNNNNNNNNNNNNNNNNNNNNNNGCCCCCUCUUCCUUCCUCUCCGACCCCUCAGCCCCGGCUCUCUCUCUCUCUGACCCCUCCCGCUCUCUGCAGAUCGGCGACCCCGGCGAACCCGACGCCGACCAUCGAUCCCGACCCCUUCAGCGUCUCCCUCCGUGAAGCAGCCGGUGACGCCUAGCAACGCCAGCGAACACUAGACAGGUGCCUUUCCCUCCCCUCCCAAGUGUUAGUUAGCUUAAUUUAAUUGCCGUUAGUGUUAGUUAGCUUAAUUUGCUGUUAGUGCUAGUUAGUUAAUUGCUAUUAGUGUUAGCCCAGUGAUAGUUAGUGUUAAUAUUGAUGCAUGUGUGCUGCUGCUGUUUUUGAAAUUCAGUUAGUGCACACUGUUCAGUUACAGAAAUUUAUGAAAUUCAGUUAGAGCACACUAUUCAGUUACAAUUUUUUUGAAAUUUUCAGUUAACUGAACAUUUUAGUUUUGGUAACUAUGCAAACUUCAGUAAACUAAUUCAGUAAUUUCAGUUAACUAAAUCAUGCAAUUGACAGCUAUUGACAGUAAAUUCAGUUAACUGAAUCCUGCAUGAUUCAGUAAAUUUAGUGUGUGUGUGAUGAUUUCUUGGAGGUUAGGUAUGCCUAGGCCUCCAAAAUCUUUUUUCAUAGAGACUAGGACCCAACUAGCAAGGUGUAGCUUCCUAUUUCCCUCAAAAUCAUUCCACAAGCAAUGAGACAUCUGAGAAUUGAUGAGGUUCACUGCCCAUUUAGGGAACUUGAAAAAAGAGAGGAGAUACACUGGAAUGCUAUCCAAACAAGCUUGUAUGAGGAUCAAUCUACCUCUGUAAGAGAGAAGUUUGCCCCUCCACCCAGCAAUACUUUUAAUGAUUUUAUCCAAAAGGGGUUGGAUAUCCUCUCUCCUCUGUUUAUCAUAGUGGAGAGGGAUACCUAGGUACUUAAUGGGGAAGUUACCUUUAUUACAGACUAGAAUAGAGAGGAAGUCAGCUAACUCCUGAUAAUCCAUGUUGAUAGGGAUGAGUUCACUUUUAGAGUAGUUGAUUCUCAUGCCUGAGACUUGUUCAAAAUAGGUUAGAACAUUUUUCCAAUUGCUAGCAUGUGUGGAGUCAUUGUCUAAGAAAAGGAUGGUAUCAUCUGCAUAUUGAAGGUAGAUGAUGCCACCAGGGCAGACCUCAGGAUAGAGCCCUGCAAUCAGACUAUGAUCAGUAGCUUUGCUCAGCAUUUUAGUAAGAACGUCCACUACUAAAUUAAACAAAAGCGGGGAGAUGGGGUCACCUUGCCUAAGGCCUUUACUAGCAAGGAAAAAAUCACUUUCACAUUUAUUUAACUUGACCCCAACAGACCCCAUGAGUAAGUUGCUGGAUCCAACUCUCCUCUAUGAAAGGCUUGGAAAAGAUCUAAGAGAUCAUUUUUCACCAAGUCCCAAAAAUGCUAGUAAAACAAGAAGGGAAUCCCAUCAGGACCAGGAGCCCCAUCAGGAUAAGAGCUAAAAAUGGCUUCCUGCACCUCUAUCUCUGAAAAAGGGGCUUCUAGCAGUUCAUUUUCAGCAGUAGAGACUUUUUCAGAAGCAGAGAAAAAUUAUUUUGUAGAGAGAACCCAGAAGGGUUUUAUUUCUUAAACAGGUCUUUGUAGAAGUCACUAGCCACUUUCAGCAUCUCAUCUACCUCGGUAACAGGGCCAUUAGGGCCAUCAUGGGAGUGAAUGAGGGUUUUCCUCCUCCUCUGGUUAGCUACUGCAUGGAAGUAAGCAGUAUUUCUAUCACCCUCCUUAAUGUUCCUCUCUCUAGACCUUUCUUUGGCUUUGAUUUCUUCUUGAAGCCAAAUUUUCUUGAGCUCUCCAUGGACAAAGUUUAAUCUAUUAGCCUCAGCCUCAGAGAGGUCAGUGGUUCCUGCCUUAAUAUCUAGAGAAUCAAACUCAAGGAGGAGAAGCCGUUUGUAUCUUCUAAGAUUAGCUUCCUCAUUGGAGUUCCACCCUUUGGUAGUUGUUCUAAAUCUCCUGAUUUUGAUCUGCCAAUUUUCUAGGGGCAGCUGCUCCUAGUAGGCUCAUUCCAGAUUUUCCUGACUAGCUCAGUAAAAUCUUCUCUAAGCAACCACCACUUUUCAAAUUUAAAACUACUGCUCUUUGGACUUUGGUUAAGACCAGAGUCCCAGAGCAAAGGAGUGUGGCCACUACCACAUCUGGGCAGAGCUCUACAACUAGAAAGGGGAAAGAAACUAUCUAAUUCUGUGUCACAGAAAAUUCUGUCAAUGGUGGACAUAAUCCUGGAGCAGCACUUCCAACAUAUCUAGCAGAACUGUGGGUUUUCCUUCUGACAGGGCAAUUCUCAACUUUAUGGGUAACCAUUUUGUAGAUAAAACAACUCUUGGGCUUGACACAUUUAUCCAAAUGAUGCCCUGGUUCCACGUAGUUGUAGCAGAUCACCUCAGAGUAUGCCAUAAGGCCCGAAGUAGGGACAGGAGCAGUUUUCUGGAUGUCCUAUCUCUUCUUUUGCUGAUUCUUGCCUUGAGAUUUCCCACUGAUAUGAGAGUCAGAACCACCAGCAGAUUGAUCUUGGGUAAUUACAGGAGCCUACCCAGAUUGUGCCCCCAUUUGGGGCGGAGGUGGGCCGUACCACUGUCCAACCGGCGCUCCCCCCCAUUGUGAUAGGGGAAAUUCAUCAGAGUUCCUGGUUCCUUCUCAUCCUCCAGCCAGAUGUUGUCUCUCAGGAAGCAGAAAUAACCACCAGACAGCUCAAUUGAAGCAGAUUGCAAGCCUAAUUUCAAUCUUCUACAGGUUUGGGGGAGAGGUAAGGUAGGGGAUCCACCUGCUCCGACUCCGGUGGCGUGCUGGUGGGCAUGAGUCCAGUCAAGCAUUCCCAUCUCGCAGCACAGCGUGGAUCUCUUGAAUUCACUUCUCCUUUCGCCCAUUGAACGAACACAAUCGGUGGCUCACUGGGGUGGGGCAUCUUGUGCUUCUCCGAGAAAUCUCCUUCGAAGUAGAUCCGCAAGGAUAGAUUCAACAGCUCCCAAUCCACAUGAUCCUUGCACAUCCGAGCAUACCUGCGCGAGUGAGAGAACAGAUUCGGUCCCUCCUCGGCUUCCUCCCUCGCAGCUUCCUCCUCUGCUUCCCUCCAUUCGCGCGUGCACUGGGUCCAGGAGAGAGCGUCGUCGCGGAUCCGCAUCGCCCGCUCCCUCCAUAUCCUCCCUCGAGUCUCUCGCAGCACCGCCGGCGCGACGGAGUUGAGGUGCUGGAGCAUCCGCGGGAAGGCUUUGUAGACAUGUGGGGGAUGCAUCUUGUACAUCUGCCUGUCUUCCAGCCAUUCCCCCGUGGAUAUGGCCGGUGACUCCAUGGGGCGCGCGAGCAGACUUGCUGAGGGGGGCAGGCGCGCCCGGAGUCAGGAGGCGGGGGGUGGCGGCGAGAUCUAUAGCGGCGGCGAGGGUGGAGGUAGUGGAGGGGGCGGCGGCGAGGGUGGAGGGGGCGGCGGCGAGGGUGGAGGUGGUGGCGGGGGCGAAGGGGAUCGCGAGAGCGGCCAUCUAUUUGCCAAUUAUGUGAACUAAAUAUUCAACAUAUAAAAUAAUUUAAAUAUAUAUAAUAUAGUUAGAAGGGAAACAUAAGUUGGACCUGGCGUUCCUAUUCUUAUAUAGGAAAAUAGAACAGACCUCUGCAUUUUCUUCAAAAAAAUACAUAAAUUGGGCUGCCAAAAAUAAAACCUCGGAUGGGAGGUCCAUAGGCCGGUGGAUACAUGACGGCCCUAAGAAAAUACAAACAGGCCUAUGGACCUCCCAUCCGAGGUCGUGGGUUGUGCAUGUUAAAAAUGAAAGCCUAGACGGGGCAGCCCAAAACCACGUCCAACACUUGCCAAAACUUUGUCCCUUGUUUUCUCUGUGUUUCGCACACUCGACAUUGUGUGGGCAUUUUGACUGUGCAUCAUAUGAAGAUGUGCUAUGCAUGAAUGUUGAUCAGCAUGAUCUUAACUGGCUGGUAGUUCCAUUUUCGACCAUGAAUAAAACUUCCAACAUGAUGUUAACCCUGUUUGAAAAGGCCGUGUGAAUAUAAAUGCUCUGCCUCUGAAAGUUGCAGUUUCUUACCAGCUUCUUCUCUGAAACUGAACUUGCAGUUUCUUAUCUGAAACUGAAACUUGCAGUUUCUUCUCAGAGAAUCACAUUGUCUGCACUUUUAUACUCCUAUGAAACUACAUUUUUUAAGUGCUAAAAAUAGAUCUCUAGAAUUCACAAAAUACUUCAUAUGCUCAAUACUGCAAAUCUGAAAUUCAAAAGACAUUCAUAUCUAAAAGUACUCUCAAAAUACACAACACAAAACACAAUUCACAACCUGCAAAUACUGACAACCCUAAGCUCCUCCUGACAAUUCACAACNNNNNNNNNNNNNNNNNNNNNNNNNNNNNNNNNNNNNNNNNNNNNNNNNNNNNNNNNNNNNNNNNNNNNNNNNNNNNNNNNNNNNNNNNNNNNNNNNNNNNNNNNNNNNNNNNNNNNNNNNNNNNNNNNNNNNNNNNNNNNNNNNNNNNNNNNNNNNNNNNNNNNNNNNNNNNNNNNNNNNNNNNNNNNNNNNNNNNNNNNNNNNNNNNNNNNNNNNNNNNNNNNNNNNNNNNNNNNNNNNNNNNNNNNNNNNNNNNNACAAUGUGAACAGCGAGGGAGGCGAUGGUGGGGAAGCGUCGUCGGGCCAACUGCUUUUCUCCUCUUGCAGUUGGGUUCGGUCGACGAAGACUCCACCGGCUCGCUCUGGCAGGACACCCUCACAAACGGCACCAUGUAGAUGCUCGAUCCUUCAAUCUAUGGUGGAUGCUCCAUCUGGGAUCGAUACUCCCACCACCGCUCCCUCACGAUCGGAUUUGGUGAAUCUGUUUGCUCCAUGGCCUAGAGGAGCAGCUCUAUGUACUCCGGUGCGACUCCCUCCGGGAGUAUCGCCGCCUUUUCGCUCUGUUGCAGAUAUUUGGCCAUGGAUGUCGCCGUUGCCGCUAGUUGGUCCUUGUGGUCAAACCAAGACUGUAUCUCCAACAUCCUAGCUAGCUUCACAGGGUUGCUGUAUGCGAUCCUCACAUAUCGGUUGUACUCCUCCAUCGAUCUACUUCUCCACAACACCUUCAUUCGCCGGCGAUGGUUUUUGAAUGGAAGAGGAGAGGAGCAGCGCUGGUUUUGGAUUAGAACAGGAGAGGAGCGACGCUGGUUUUGGACUGGAAUGGGAGAUGAUGGGCGGUGGUUUUGAAAUGGAAGAGGAGAGGAGCGGCGCUGCAUUUAGAUUGGAACAGGAGAGGAGCGGCGGUGGUUUAAGAGGAGAAGAGCAGAAGAGCGGCGCUGGUCUUGGAAGUAUUUUUUUGUUGUUUUGCGUAUUUUGGGUCAAAGUUUGACCACAUACUGUAUUUGACAAGCAAAAUGUGAAUGCAUGUCACCAAAAAUUGUAUCGUUUGGUUCAUCUCUGAAUGUACUUUCAAAUUAUACUCCCUCCAUUUUUGUAUACAAGGCCACAAACUCAUAUUACAGGUACCAAGGUAAAAAUCAAUGCUAUGUUUAAGUCAAUGUUGCAAGCUAGCUUGUCACCUUGAUUGUCGUGUUAAUUAAUGUGGUUUUUCUCUCCCAGGCACAACAAGCCAACCCUCUUACUGCUCGUUGGUUGAUUAAUGUUGGGAAUGCAAUCUAACCUUCUCACUCCCACAUGCACACAAGGGAUAUUAAUGUCCUCGGGUGCUAGUACGAGGCAAACGCCAUCAAUUUUUCCUCGAUUAAUGUAGUGGCCUUGUAUAGUUGCAAAUUGUAAUUUUGAUAGUGGCCUUGUAUACAAAAAUGGAGGGAGUAUUAUUUUUACAAUUUAUAACAUAUAUUUUAUGUGCGAAAAUCAUGGUCAAUUAUGACCCAGAAUAAAAGGGAGACUAGUUAAUGUGGGUUCGCUUUCUUAAUUGAAGGGUAAAUUGAUUUUGAUUUUGAUCCAGUCACAACACGCCGGCCCUCUCGUCUGGGGUGCGACACGAACGCGACGGGCGUGCCUAUGGUCGGUUCUCAAUUGUCGUCCCACAUGUUUGUCCAAACGCAGUAUGACACUCAUUCCAUUCGAAGAGCAGCGUGCUAGACCGACCGACCGUCUGGGGUGCGACGCGAACGCGAUGGGCAUGCUGUAUACUCCGUACAUGUGUGCCGUCAUUUUCUAGACGCUUUGCUCCAUGGCGCGGGCGCAAUUCAUGGAUACAAAAUUAGUAUAAUGUAUACUAUUUAAAAGUCGAGGGCGGGGCUUUUCCUGCGCGGUAGGCAGCGGGGAAGUUCCGCCUAGUCGGUUCGAUAGAGACGCAAGAAGACGAGGGAGUAGGUUGCUGCAAACAUAGGGCUGUGUGAUUUGACAGCGAGUUACUGCUAGACAGGUGGGGCCCCGUGAUUUGACUUUCCAUUAUCAUUUUGACUGCGGCGCUACCGAUUCCUGACAACCUCGCCUCUCCCAAUGCUCCACCAUGUAGUAGAGGCUGGCUCUUGCAUGAGAUCCCACUUCUCCACUUUUUCCUUGCCUCUCUUUCCUCCACAUAUGCAAAAAUGCCAUGUAAAGUGCACUAUUGUACUACUUACUUUUACUUGCUCCUACAGGUGCUUAAGCUUGCCACAUAGGCAUAAAGUCUGAUGUGGCAAGUUAAUCAAGAAGAGAGAGACUAGUUUGGUGACCCAAGGAAGAAAGAGUGCUAAGCGCGUGUACCUAGGUGAAAAGACAAUUUUGAGUCUAUAGCUAAUUAAAUGAAGCAAACUUAGCAACACCGUUUCAUUGGAAGAGGUCACUCCUUGGAAAAUGCAAUAAAUACUAGUAGUACGAAGAAAGAGAUAGAGAGGAGUAAAAAAAACACUUAUAGCCAACCUUAUAGCCAACCUUGUUGUAGUAUGAGUGACUGAGUGAUGACUAUGUAUGACAUGCCAACAUCAGAUAGCCUAACGCACCAUGUUAAAUCUCCAAGGGUGCGGCCGCGCGAGCGACGCGACGGUCGUAGUAGGCGCGACCAUGAUAUGGGCUGCUGGCAGCCCUUGGAUCCGAGAUCAAACGGUCGCAUGCUAAGUUGCUGAAAAUUUGCCGAAUAACCCUCCAGGAUAGGAUAUUCACCCAUAGGUCUAGAAUCACGCCAUGCGGCCAUUCAAUCUCAGAUCCAAGGGCUCUCGGAAGCCCGUAUCAUGGGAGAAUGGAAAGCCACUACCCUGCCGUUCGCACGCUGGCAGUUCGCUCCUACUCGUCCCCGCAUGUCCUUCAAUACUACGGCGGUUCGCUCCUAGUCGUCCCGUCCAUUCACAUUACGGCAGUUCCACUAAUCCUAACCCUCCUCCCAAAUCCAUGGCAUCCCAAAUCUCCACGAUCGGCGGUGAGUACAAGGUUAGAACCAUAACCGGCGAUGAGUUCGACGUCAUCUACACCCGUUCUUCCGCGACGGUGAAAGGAUGCCUUUCUCGCUUCAGACGCAUGUUCGGAAACUCAGAUGAUGAGUGGGUCGCUAGGCUAGAUAUUGAGUACACCACAGUCCUGGGACGAGAGAAGGAUCUAAAGGACGAAGAGAGGAAGAAGCCCGCCGUGAUCCAGGUUUGCGUACAUAACGUUUUCUUGGUCUACCACAUAUGCCAUGCCGAUGUUGAGUGCCAGGAUUUUAAGAACUUCCUCGAGAGCAACCUAGUCAAAUUCGUUACUGUAGACUUUGGUAAUGAUAAAGAAGUCCUGCGUCGGAUAGGCCUCGUUGUAGGCAACACCUUCGACCUCCAGAAGAAUCGGCUGGUGUCCUCUCGUCAGCCUUCAAUGCUGACCCUGGCAGGAGCCAUGGUUCAUCCUUCGUACGGUAAACUGGAGAAACCUCCAUACACAUUUCAUCAUCACGCAUGGCAGCGGAAUGUACUAGAUAUAGACCACAUCCACUACGCUGCAAUGGAUGGCUACCUUUGCUUCAAUAUCUACAAGGGUUGGAUGAAGAGCAACAGCCAAGUGUGUGCUUCAAGCAAAGAAGUAUCGGCCAAGAGGAAGUGGGACAAGGACGAAGUCGAGGACAUGGACGAGGACUCCGAGUAAGGUGGCAGUGUCAUUGCUCAUGGUGGUUCUAAUGCAGUGUCUACCGGAAUAGUUGCAAAGUUUAAUUUCAGGUGUGCUUAAUUUAAUUUGAGGGGUGUGUUGUGCUGAGCCCCCAGCAGAACUAUGUUAUGUUUCUUCUCGUUACUUUAACUCUUCAGUACAUACAUACUAGUAUUUCUUACAUUUCAUCUUUUAGUUGGUAUAGUACUACCACUUGUUUCUUCACAUUGUAUACGUACAACAUAUAUGGCCAACAUCAUAUAGCCAGCAGUUUAGUUGUCAAAGAAUUUCAGGGUGCUUAGUUUUGUCAAAGAAUUCCAGGAUGCUUAGAGGGUGCUUGGAUCCAAGGAACUUAUUUUAGUUUGACUAAAAAUAGUCUCUUUAAGAGGCUAAAGUUCCAAGCACCCCUGACUAAAGGGGGGCUAAAACUAGUCUUGAGACUAAUUUUUUUUAGUUAGGGGUACCCCUACUAAAAUGUGAAUUAGUCCUCUCUCUACUCAUUUAACUCCUCUCCUUUAAGACAGGCAAGUUCUGGAUUGGAGGGUUUGGAGGAUAAUAAAUGCUUAUUAACUUGAUUUUAGCCUUUUUAGUAUUUGGAUCCAAACAUGGGUGAGGCAGGCAAGUUCUGGAUUGGAGGGUUUGGAGGAUAAUAAAUGCUCAUUAACUUGAUUUUAGCCUUUUUAGUAUUUGGAUCCAAGCAUGGGUGAGGCUAGCAUGUUUUAGUCCCACUACUUUUAAUCAUGGGACUAAAACGUAUUUUAACUAGCCUCACCCUCUUAGUUUUAUUUGAGGGGUGGGUUGUGCUGGACACCAUUAUUGUGACUAGCCUUUUUAAUAGUACUAUAUGCAUAAUUUGGCGACGAGCGCUCUCUAUAUGUACCACCUUUUUUCUAUUUCAAGUUUUGCUCCAUGGCGCAAUCCAUCGAUACUACUGCUGUACAAAAGUAUACAUUUUUUAAAAGGCUAGAGGGCGGGGCAGUCUACCUUGGUUGGUUUCACGAGAGGCGAGGGCCUUUGUGAUUUGAUGGCUCAUUACUGCUGGAAGGCGGGGCCUUGUGAUUUGAUUGCUCGUAUAAAUGCGCCGACGACCUGAUCGAGGAGCAGCAAAGAACCAUGCGGUAUACUCAAGUUUUCCACCGGAGUAGUAUGUCACACCCUACUUAGUUGAAGCAUUAGAGUGUGCAUCAUGUUUAAUUUCCUCUUAAAUUUGAAAUGGGGAAGACAGAACCCCCAACACCCCCUGGAAACAACUAGGGUUUACUAAAAUUAUUUUCAAUGAACCUGAAAUGCCCUUCUAAAAAGUUCACCCUCUUUGUCUUGGGUUAGAACCUCUGGUAAAAUGGGUGCACAAUUUUCUAGGUCAACAGAAGGUCAUUGAAUUAAAUCAUAAGUAUUUGAAUUUGGGCAUUUAAAUGCUAUAAAAUAAUUUAAAUGCUCAAAUAAUUCUGGAAAUAAAUGUUUGCUGUUGGAUAUAUUCUAACCAGAGCCCACAAUUAUUUUUAGGAUUUUUGGAAACGUUUUAGUAUUUUUAAUAAAGCCCAACAGUUGCAGUUAAAUAGAAAACAGAAACAAAUCAAAAAAAAGAGAGAGAGGGAAGCCCACCUGGGCCUUACCUGUGCUGGCCCAGCCACCUGGCUUGGCCCAGCCGACUGGCCUUGCCAGUCGUCGUCCUCCUCCCGCCAGAAGGACGAGGAGCGCGUGGCCGGCGCCCGCGGCCACACGCCGGCCACCUCCUGCUUCUAUCGACGCCCUGGAGACCUCCAGGGAUGCCACGCCGACCCCCACGUCCCCCUCUCAUCCUCCCUCACUCUCCCCCUCGUCUCCCUCACCCUCUCCCGCGAUGGCCGAGCGCGAGCCUCGCCGCCGUUCACCAUAGAAGCCACCAGAGCCACCCCCUCGCCCCUCCGACAAGCCCAAUAGCUCCGCCUCGUCGCCCUGGACCUCUCCGCUAACCCACGCGACUCCAAACGCCGCCGAACACCGUCUUCACCCUCGUCUUCAACCUCGGGCACCCGAGCCAUCUCCGGUCGAUUCGCCGCCGCCAGGACCUCCCCGAGCUCGCUGACCCCCUCUCCGACUCCGCUGUGAGCUCCUCUUCCUCUUCCCCUAGCUCCCGUGCUCGUUUGGCCUCUGUAGUCACCACUUCCACCGCACCUGAAAGCUCCCCACCAUCGGCCAUGGCGCCGUCGUGGCUAGAUCCACAGUGGCUCGAAGCCAAGCUCACCGUUGUGCUCAGCGCAGCACCAGGAGCCCGUAGCCACCACUAGCUCCUUCUCCCGUGCACCAUAGCGUCAAACCCAACCCCGUCCGAACUCCGGCCGCCGCCAUGAGCUCGAUUCCAGCGAGCUCGCUCCACCCCAGCUCCUCCCACUUGCUCCACUAGAUGCGCGCGAGCCCCAGCUACGCGUAGGACCAAAGCGCGGUCGAUUUGGUCGCCUGAGGGCGAUUUUCGAAGCCCUCCGCCAUCUCGGCCUCGCCGGUGACUCAACGCCGGCGGGAUUAGCCCCGCUGACCAGGGGUUUGACCCCAGUUUGAUUCCCCUGAGUCACUGACAAGUGGGCCCCCCUCUGCUAACUAAAUCAAAUUAGUCUUAACUAAAAAUAAUUAGUUUAAUUAACUACUGACACGCGGGACCCACCAGUCAGGUUUGACCUAGACGUCCCCGUUGACCACUGACGUCACCCUGACGUAAUGCUGACGCAGUAAUUAAAUUACUGGAAUUAUUCUUAUACAGGAAAUUCCAGAAAAUAGUCAAAACUUCUAAAAAUCAUAGAAAAUCAACCAUAGCUCCAAAUGUAAAGAUUUAUAUAUGAAAAAUGAUCAGAAAAAUUCAAUCAAUCCAUCUGUAAUGGUUUCAUGCAUGUCAAAACAAGUUUACCUUGCUGUUUAAGCAGAAUAAGGUAAUGCACUAUUAAGGCCACGUUUAAUGAGCUAAUAUUUUAAUCUUUGAUUCAAAUGAGUUCAUCCCCUUCUGUUUUAGCUUGCAUUAGGCCAAGACACAUUCAUAUUGCCAUGUCAUAGCAUGCAUCAUAUUGUUGCAUAUCGUCAUGCAUUGAUUGUGUUCCGAUGUGUUCUUCGUGGUAGGUUCUGCCUCCGAGGAUAUUCACGAGUAUCCAACUGAAGGGCAGUAUCCCACUACCACUCCAUCAGGCAAGCAACCCAUUGUUCAUUCCGAUACAAACCCAUGUUCUUGCUUCUGCUCUUGUUUACUGUAUUAAGACAACGUGAUUCAAACUGCUGUGUGCUACGGUAGCUGAACCCUUAUCCUCUGCAUGACCUGUCAUUGCCACAGUAAUUAGAUGAAACCCACUAGCAUGUGUAGGAGUUGAUUGAGCCAUGUAUGUGAUUCCUAUGUUGUUAUGCCUGCUAUGCUUAGAGUUGUGUCAGGUCUGGUUCAUCCGGGUGAUGGGCUAGAGUGAUAUGUUUAUGUCGGUAAUAUGAGGGAUGUGUUGAACAUGUUUUGGUAAAGGUAUCGAUGAGAGGCCAUGUAGGAGUACAUGGUGGGUUGUUUCAUUGAGGCCGUCCAUAAGAACUGAGAUCUGUAUGUGUGAUUUAAGAUCCAGUUACUACCGUACAUUGGGCCCGAAACCAAUGGACCCUCUCGGCUUCUUAAUCACCCUAGUACUCUGUCCAGGAGUUGCAAAUAGUUUCUGGUGUUUGUAGGUUAUAUGUUGGCGGCCGUGCAUAGCGCUGACCCUAGGGGUGGGCUAUGUUGCGGUAGAUACACCGUGGCCGGGUAUGCCGGGCGCCCGUUUGGCGUCUCGGGACCCUGUUCACAUCGUUCGGGGCCGUAUGUGGAAACCUCGGCCGGACUCCCUGCGGAUGGAACCUGGAUAGGCGAUAAACCCGGACUAGAGACUUAAGUGUUUAGGUAGGCCGUGGCCGACACCCUCGCUGGGCUUCCGCUUGAAGGUUGCCGAGUACAUGUCGUGUAAACGGUGGUAAGUGGUGAAAGCGUGUAUGAAGAGGUACACCCCUGCAGGGUAUAAAACUAUUCGAAUAGCCGCGUCCACGGUAAAGGACUACUUGGUUGCCUAUACAGUUCAUAGACAAGUUAAUGGAUACUACUAAAAGACUCAAGAUAAGUGUGAGUACCGAGGAUGGCCCUCUCGUAGGAUAACGAGGGAGGAUCCCCGAUGGAGUAUUGUGUUGGUGAGUAGUGGACUCGUGUGCGAAAACUAUUUUACUAGUGGAGUUUCGUAGGAUAGCUUAGCCAAGAGUCAAAGCUGGCUUGCUGCAAUAACCUCACCACCUUCUUGAGGAUGAGCAUGUAUAUUAGGUUCUGAUGUAAGACUUGCUGAGUACCUUUGUACUCAUGUUUGCUUAAUUACUGUUUUCAGACGACAACACCGCCCCCUCCGAUGGGUUCUACGUAGACCUUGACGUCGACGAGUGACUAGCCACCCAGGUGGUGAUCUUGGCCAUGGAGGGCCCUAUGUAGAUAGACAGGCUUCGAGAAGCCUUCUUUCUUUCUAGAGUCUGUACUCAGACUAGUUGCUUCCGCAUGUGCUUGUAUGAUUGUAUGACUUGAGUGUCGGGUCAUGUGACCCCUAUUUGUAUGAACAUGUUAUGUAUGGCUCUCUGGAGCCUUUAAAUAAAGUACUUGAGUUGUAGAGUUUUGUUGUGAUGCCAUGUUGUAUGUACUCAUAUCGGGCAUAUUGUGUGUAUGAUUGAAAUGCUUGGUAUGAGUGGGAUCCGACAAUCUAGUUAUUUAUCCUUGGCAGCCUUCUUAUGGGGAAAUGUAGUCUAGUGUUCCUUGAGCCAUAGUAGUCCGCUACAGCCCGGUUCACCGGAGUCCUGCUAGCCUAGCACUACUGUUCAGGACACUUGACUGGCCGGCAUUUGUUUCACUUUGUUUCUAUGUCUGUCCCUUCGGGGAAAUGUCACGCGGUGACUUCCGGAGUCCUACCUAGCCUGCUACAGCCACGGUUCCCCGGAGUCCUGUUAGCCCAGUGCUACAGCCCGGAAUCACUCGCUGAUGACCGACAUGCUCGAUGUGAUUCAUGUAUGCCUGUCUCCAUAGGUCUGUGCCGCUUUGGGUUCAUGACUAGCCAUGUAGGCCCGGGUUCUCUGUCAUAUGGAUGCUAGCGACACUAUCAUAUACAUGAGCCAAAAGGCGCAAACGGUCCCAGGCCAUGGUAAGGCGACACCCGUGGGAUAUUGUGCGUGAGGCCGCAAAGUGAUAUGAGGUGUUACCAGCUAGAUCGGUGUGACUUGGAAUCGGGGUCCUGAUAGCGUUGGUAUCAGAGCCGGACUGCCUGUAGGUUCGUUGAGCCAAACUGGUCGAUGUUGAGUCUAGAAAUGCUUUAGUUAUAUGUAGGGGAAUUGAUUGGGAGGGAACGUAAGGCUCUUUUACUCCUUUACCCUAUGCCUCUGAUCUGAGUCAUUCUCAUCUCAUUCAACGUGGGUUAAGGACUAGGCUCUCUUUUUCUAUCAGGUUCACGUGUUACUAAUCCGUAGUAGCUUAUAGGAUUGUUGUUACAAGUCCCAGUUCAGUUUCUACUAUUCUUAGUAUGUUGCUAAUUGGAUCAGAACCUUGAUAUGAUGUUGUUGAGUGGUAUUGCGAACUGUUGUGGAUGUCUCAAGUCUUUUUCUGAGCAUUUACAGCUAUUAUGCUGUCCAAUUUUCCCUAGAAAUUCUGAUGUCUUUGCAUUAUGGUUGUGCUUUCAGAUGGCCAACCGUGUUGAAAACCAAGUGGUUCGCCUGACCCGGUGCCUCGACGUGCCCGGUCAUACUGCUAUGUUAGUCCAGGUAAUGACCGAGCCGGGUUACCGUUGGUAUCUCGAAUACACCGUCGAAGAGCAAUUCCGAGACUUUAAUCAAAGCAAAUAUUUCUGCACCGUCAGGAUAUUUCCUUCUUAUCCUGGAUCUACCGAGCCCCUUCAUUGUUCCUAUGGACUCGGGGUUACUGUUGAGAUGGCUAUGCAGGAUGCUGCCUAUUCCAUGAUGACCAUCAUGUGAGUCCGGAUUGGCCUGCUUCGGACCACCGACUUCCGUUACAUGCCAGCUUCACUUCCGGGAGCGCAAGGGCAUCUUGAGGCUAUCUAUGCUGACUCCACUCAGGAGGACUCAUUAGCUCGUACCACUGCCGAGAUGCUCGAAGAUAAGGACCGAGAGAAUCGGGCCUUGAGGCUGGAGCUUUUCAAUACCCGUGCUGAUCAUUGGGCCACAUUGACUCGGUUUGCACCUGCAGUGCAAGCUGGAUGUAUGGAUACAAGGGAUCUGUAUCCUGUGAGAUCUGCUCUGCCAGACAUGGUGGAUUGGCGUGAUGUGGGAGGCAUCACCCCACCCCGUGGUCCCCGCAGGCCACCGUUUGUUGGUCCAAGACCUCAUCCUAGCCCCUAUGGUCCACAGGCUCCUCAGGACCGUCUGUUCCCGGAUGGUCACGUUGAACUUCCAGGCUAUGGAGGUGACCUCUAUGAGGACUACUACGGAGCUAUCUGAGUUAGUAGUAGUACCACUAGUAUUGUAGUAGUUGUAUCUCCACUGUCCUGCGUGACUUGUGGAAUAUGACUUUGUGUGUAAUCAACCCCGGAGGUGUAGACAAAUAAUGUAUAGGAGCUUGGGAUGCCUCCGAUGAGAUGUAACGUCUUUCAUCAUAGUUGUACUGUAGCCUGGGCUUGUACUAAACUAUGUAUGAUGUGUAUGACCGUUGGUAUAUAUAUGGCAGUUUUAUAUUACCAUGACAUACGGAUGAACAUCUCUGCAUUCCGUGUUAUCCAUUACAUUCUGCACUUCCUUGCUAAGUUUGAGCCAUCAUUGUCUAAACCAUUGUCUUGUUUUCUCCUAGGAUGGUCAACACCCGCAGCAACCCUGCUGCCUCGGAGCAGGGGGAAGCCAGUGCAGCUAGGGGUGAAAAUCUGCCUCACCCGCCUUCUCUGGCCGAAGUAAUGCUGGAGGCGGAAAGAAACAAGCGUGAGACUAACCGCCUGCUAGAGUGGAUUGAGCAAAACACUGCACGCCACCCGUGAAAUGACUUGGUGUCAAUCAAUGACUUUAUCAAGUUGUACCCACCAAAGUUUAACCAUUCCAUCGAGCCCCUCGACGUGGAUGACUGGCUUCGCAGCAUCACCCACAAGCUACGUUCUGCCAACGUAGCCGAAGUCGACAAGGUUACUUACACUACCUACCAUCUUGAAGGCCCUGCUAGCCUCUGGUGGGAAAAUUUUGAAGCUAUGCGCCCGGUCGGCCAAAUCACUACUUGGGCUGAAUUCAAUGAGGCUUUCCGUGAGCAUCACAUUCCGGAAGGUCUCAUGGAUCGCAAGAGGGAGGAGUUCUGCAACUUCACCCAAGGAAGACUGACUGUGGAGGCUUAUAGUCGUGAAUUUGGGAAUCUAGCACGUUAUGCCCCUGAAGAGGUAUCUACUGACGCUAAGAAGCAGGCAAGGUUCCGCAAGGGACUUAGCCCUGAGCUUCGCCGCGAUCUUCGUCUGCACGAGUGCACCUCCUUUCAGAAGUUGGUCAAUAAAGCCAUCAGUGCUGAGACAGGCCAGACUGAUUAUGACGCUUCACGCAAGCACUCCCGUGAUUUUGGCUCUUCAUCCGGCUCUGGAGCUCAGAAGCGCCGGGUUUGGAUUCCAAGCACGGCACUGCCACCCAGGUUCAUCCCGAGGCCAUCCUUUGAGGCGCCUCGUCCCAACCAGCAAUUUGCACCGCCCAAGCCCUAUGGUGGCCCCGCUGCUAAUGCUGCUCCACGCCCCAAUGUUGUGACUUGUUUCAAGUGUGGAGAGCCGGGUCACUAUAGCCGAGAGUGUCCCCAGAACAACAACCCCAUUCAAACUAGAAAGUCUGUUGGCCGUGGUAAGCCUGCGGUAAAGACAUUCUACGCCAAGCCGGUCACCACUGCCCGUGGCCAGGUCAACUAUGUUUCAGCCGAGGAGGCUCAUGAGGAUCCUAACGUCGUUCUUGGUACGCUCCUUGUUAACUGCCAUCCGGCAUCCGUUCUUUUCGAUACUGGAGCAUCUCAUUCAUUCAUAUCCGAGAACUAUGCUCGAUUGCAUAACACGACAUUCUGUGACAUGCCCUCUACCAUGGAAAUUCAAACUCCUGGCUCUAGAUGGCAAACUUCUAGAGUAAGCCAUGGGAACGAAAUUCAUGUCGAUAGACUUGUCUUCCUUGCAUCCUUAAUAGCUCUCAAGUCCUCGGACAUAAACAUCAUCUUGGGUAUGGACUGGAUGUCAGCUCAUUAUGCUAAGAUUGAUUGUGCCACUAGAACCGUUCAACUUACUCACCCAUCGGGCAAGACAGUCAAUGUCUUAAUUCGAGUGGCCAAGCGCCAGCUUUACUCCCUAAAUGCCAACCCCCUUCCAGACCUUGAGGAUGUUCCGGUAGUCCGAGACUUUCCGGAUGUCUUUCCAGAAGAACUGCUAGGUGUCCCACCUGACAGGUAUGUUGAGUUUGUGAUAGACCUUGUCCCAGGAACCGUUCCAAUUUCUAGAAGACCCUACAAGAUGGCACCCUUAGAACUAGCCGAGCUUAAGAACCAACUCAAUGAGUCCUUGAAAAAGGGUUUCAUCCGUCCUAGUUCCUCUCCUUGGGCUUGCCCCGUCCUCUUCGUCAAGAAGAAGGAUGGAACGGAUCGAAUGGUUGUAGAUUACCGACCUGUCAACUUGGUCACUAUCAAGAACAAAUACCCGCUUCCCAGGAUCAACGAUCUGUAUGAUCAGCUUGCUGGAUCCUCGGUCUUUUCCAAGAUGGAUUUGAGGUUGGGCUACCAUCAAAUCAAAAUCAGAAACGGGGACAUUCCCAAAACGGCCUUUGUUACUCGUUAUGGCCAAUACGAGUACACCGUUAUGUCCUUCGUUUUAACCAAUGCCCCAGCUACCUUCUCUUGGUUAAUGAACUCGGUCUUCAUGGAGUACUUGGAUAGAUUCGUCGUAGUAUACCUCGAUGACAUACUCAUCUACUCCAAGAAUGAAGAGGAACAUGCUGAACAUCUAAGGCUGGUAUUGAUGAAACUUCGAGAGCAUCGCCUUUAUGCCAAAUUCUCCAAGUGUGAAUUUUGGUUGCCAGAAGUGACCUAUCUAGGCCAUGUAAUCUCUGGUAAGGGUAUUGCUGUCAAUCCCGAGCGAGUUCAAGCCGUCGUUGAUUGGACUCCACCUGAGACGGUCAAGCAAGUUUGGAGCUUCCUUGGCUUAGCGAGCUAUUGCCGCCGCUUCGUCGAGAAUUUCUCCAAGGUUGCUAAACCUCUAACUGAACUCCUCAAGAAAGAUAAAAAGUUCGAGUGGACUCCACAGUGCGAGUUCAGUUUUCAGGAACUGAAAAGACGCCUGACAUCUGCUCCCAUACUGGUACCACCAGACUUCUCCAAGGACUUUAUUAUCUAUUGCGACACCUCGCGUCAAGGACUAGGUUGCAUACUCAUGCAAGAUCGUCAGGUAAUCGCCUAUGCUUCACGGCAAUUACACCCACAUGAGGAAAAUUAUCCCACACAUGAUCUUGAGCUUGUAGCUGUAGUCCAUGCACUUAAAACUUGGCGACAUUACCUUCUCGGUAAUCGUUGCGAGAUCUUCACCGAUCACCAAAGUUUGAAAUAUAUCUUCACCCAACCAGAUUUGAAUCUCAGGCAAAGACAUUGGGUCAAGUUGAUCUCGGAUUACGACUUAGGAAUAACUUACACCCCGGGCAAAGCCAAUGUCAUGGCUGAUGCGCUAAGCCGUAAGUCCUAUUGUAACAACCUGAUGUUACAACAAAGUAAACCACUUCUCCAUGAGGAAUUUCGUAAGCUAAAUCUUCACAUUGUUCCUCGAGGAUUCCUAUCCACCCUGGUGGCGAAACCUACCCUUACGGAUCAGAUCAUCAAAGCACAGAAGGUAGAUCUGAGAAUCUCCCGUAUUAAGAGAAACAUUAAGAAAGGGGUCGCGAAUUGUUUCUCCAUUGAUGAUCAAGGUGUCGUAUACUUUGGAAAUCGCCUAGUGGUUCCAAAGGCAUGAAACCUGAAGCGGCUGAUCCUUAAGGAAGCUCAUGAAUCCCCUCUCACCAUUCAUCCCGGUAGUACCAAAAUGUAUCAAGACCUACGCCAGAGGUUUUGGUGGACUAGGAUGAAGAGAGAAAUCGCUCAAUACAUUGCUAAUUGCGACGUUUGUCGUCGUGUUAAAGCAGAGCAUCAACGGCCUGCUGGCACCCUUCAACCUUUGGCUAUUCCCGAGUGGAAAUGGGAUAAAAUCAGUAUGGAUUUCAUCACUGGGUUUCCCAGGACCAAGAGAGGGAAUAAUGCCAUCUUCGUCGUGAUCGACCGACUUUCCAGAGUAGCCCACUUUCUACCUGUUUGUGAGAGUAUCACCGCUAGCCAGCUAGCCGAUUUAUACAUCUCCCGAAUAGUGUCUCUUCAUGGUGUUCCAUUGGAAAUUAACUCAGACCGUGGGAGUCUCUUCACCUCUCGAUUUUGGGAAAGUUUCCAAAAUGGGAACUCGUCUCUCCUUUAGCACCGCCUUCCAUCCUCAAUCAAGUGGUCAAGUAGAACGAGUUAAUCAAAUUCUGGAAGAUAUGCUCCGAGCCUCUGUCAUCUCGUUCGGAAUGAGUUGGGAGAAAUGCCUUCCAUUCGCGGAGUUUGCUUAUAACAAUAGUUAUCAAGCCAGCUUGGGCAAGGCUCCUUUCAAAGUUCUCUAUGGACGAAAAUGUCGAACGCCUCUUAACUGGUCAGAAACCGGGGAAAGACAACUCUUUGGCCCGGAUAUGAUUCAGGAAGCAGAAGAGCAGGUUCGCGUUAUUCGUGAGAAAUUGAAAACAUCCCAAUCUCGUCAAAAGAGUCAAUAUGAUCGUAAACAUAAGCUUAUGACUUAUGAAGUCGACGAGAAGGCUUACCUUCGGGUUACCCCGUUAAAGGGAACCCAUCGUUUCGGUAUCAAAGGUAAAUUGGCUCCUCGUUACAUUGGACCCUUUCGCAUUCUUGCCAAAUGAGGAGAAGUUGCCUACCAAUUGGAAGUACCUCCGCAUCUUUCCAGAGUUCACGGUGUCUUCCACGUUUCACAACUCAGGCCUUGCUUCGCGGAUCCUAUCCGUGGAGUGGACCACGAAACGCUUGAUCUACAAGAUAACCUCUCCUAUCGGGAAUAUCCCGUUCGUAUCCUUGAUCAAGCCGAGCGUACCACUCGACGUCAUAAUAUCAAGUUUCUCAAGGUUCAAUGGUCACACCAUUCCGAGAAAGAAGCCACUUGGGAAAGGGAGGAUCGUCUCGACUCGAGUACCCCACCUUCUUCCCGGAGGAUCCUAAAUCUCGGGACGAGAUUCUUUUGAGUGGGGGUGAGUUGUCACACCCUAGUUAGUUCAAGCAUUAGAGUGUGCAUCAUGUUUAAUUUCCUCUUAAAUUUGAAAUGGGGAAGAUAGAACCCCCAACACCCCCCUAGAAACAACUAGGGUUUACUAAAAUUAUUUUCAAUGAACCUGAAAUGCCCUUCUAAAAAGUUCACCCUCUUUGUCUUGGGUUAGAACCUCUGGCAAAAUGGGUGCACAAUUUUCUAGGUCAACAGAAGGUCAUUGAAUUAAAUCAUAAGUAUUUGAAUUUGGGUAUUUAAAUGCUAUAAAAUAAUUUAAAUGCUCAAAUAAUUCUGGAAAUAAAUGUUUGCUAUUGGAUAUAUUCUAACCAGAGCCCACAAUUAUUUUCAGGAUUUUUGGAAACGUUUUAGUAUUUUUAAUAAAGCCCAACAGUUGCAGUUAAAUAGAAAACAGAAACAAAUCAAAAAAAAGAGAGAGAGGGAAGCCCACCUGGGCCUUACCUGUGCUGGCCCAGCCACCUGGCUCGGCCCAGCCAACUGCCCUUGCCAGUCGUCGUCCUCCUCCCGCCAGAAGGACGAGGAGCGCGUGGCCGGUGCCCGCAGCCACACGCCGGCCACCUCCUGCUUCUACCGACACCCUGGAGACGUCCAGGGAAGCCACGCCGACCCCCACGUCCCCCUCUCAUCCUCCCUCACUCUCCCCCUCGUCUCCCUCACCCUCUCCCGCGAUGGCCGAGCGCGAGCCUCGCCGCCGUUCGCCGUAGACGCCACCAGAGCCACCCCCUCGCCCCUCCGACGAGCCCAAUAGCCCCGCCUUGUCGCCCUGGACCUCUGCGCUGACCCACGCGACUCCAAACGCCGCCGAACACCGUCUUCGCCCUCGUCUUCAACCUCGGUACCCGAGCCGUCUCCGGUCGAUUCGCCGCCGCCAGGACCUCCCCGAGCUCACUGACCCCCUCUCCAACUCCGCUGCGAGCUCCUCUUCCUCUUCCCCUAGCUCCCGUGCUCGUUUGGCCUCUGUAUUCGCCACUUCCAACGCACCCGAAAGCUCCCUGCCGUCGGCCAUGGCGCCAUCGUGGCUAGAGCCACAAUGGCUCGAAGCCAAGCUCACCAUUGUGCUCAGCACAGCACCAGGAGCCCGUAGCCACCACCAGCUCCUUCUCCCGUGCACCGUAGCGUCAAACCCAACCCCGUCCGAACUCUGGCCGCCGCCACGAGCUCGAUUCCGGCGAGCUAGCUCCACCCCAGCUCCUCCCACUAGCUCCACUAUAUGCGUGCGAGCCCCAGCUACGCGUACGACCAAACCGCGGUCGAUUUGGUCGCCUGAGGGCGAUUUCCGAAGCCCUCCGCCGUCGCGGCCUCGCCGGCGACUCAAUGCCGGCGGGAUUAGCCUCGCUGACCAGGGGUUUGACCCCAGUUUGACUCCCCUGAGUCACUGACAAGUGGGCCCCCCUCUGCUAACUAAAUCAAAUUAGUCUUAACUAAAAAUAAUUAGUUUAAUUAACUACUGACACGCGGGACCCACCAUUCAGGUUUGACCUGGACGUCCCGUUGACCACUGACGUCACCCUGACGUAAUGCUGACGGAGUUAUUAAAUUACUGGAAUUAUUCUUAUACAGGAAAUUCCAGAAAAUAGUCAAAACUUCUAAAAAUCAUAGAAAAUCAACCAUAGCUCCAAAUGUAAAGAUUUAUAUAUGAAAAAUGAUCAGAAAAAUUCAAUCAAUCCAUCUGUAAUGGUUUCAUGCAUGUCAAAACAAGUUUACCUUGCUGUUUAAGCAGAAUAAGGUAAUGCACUAUUAAGGCCAUGUUUAAUGAGCUAAUAUUUGAAUCUUUGAUUCAAAUGAGUUCAUCCCCUUAUGUUUUAGCUUGCAUUAGGCCAAGACACAUUCAUAUUGCCAUGUCAUAGCAUGCAUCAUAUUGUUGCAUAUCGUCAUGCGUUGAUUGUGUUCCGAUGUGUUCUUCGUGGUAGGUUCUGCCUCCAAGGAUAUUCACGAGUAUCCAACUGAAGGGCAGUAUCCCACUACCACUCCAUCAGGCAAGCAACCCAUUGAUCAUUCCGAUACAAACCCAUGUUCUCGCUUCUGCUCUUGUUUACUGCAUUAAGACAACGCGAUUCAAACUGCUGUGUGCUACGGUAGCUAAACCCUUAUCCUCUGCAUGACCUGUCAUUGCCACAGUAAUUAGAUGAAACCCACUAGCAUGUGUAGGAGUUGAUUGAGCCAUGUAUGUGAUUCCUACCUUGCUAUGCCUGCUAUGCUUAGAGUUGUGUCAGGUCUGGUUCAUCUGAGUGAUGGGCUAGAGUGAUAUGUUUAUGUCGGUAAUAUGAGGGAUGUGUUGAACAUGUUUUGGUAAAGGUAUCGAUGAGAGGCCAUGUAGGAGUACAUGGUGGGUUGUUUCAUUGAGGCCGUCCAUAAGAACUAAGAUCUGUAUGUGUGAUUUAAGAUGCAGUUACUACCGUACAUUGGGCCCGAAACCAAUGGACCCUCUCGGCUUCUUAAUCACCCUAGUACUCUGUCCAGGAGUUGCAAAUAGUUUCUGGUGUUUGUAGGUUAUGUGUUAGCGGCCGUGCGUAGCGCUGACCCUAGGGGUGGGCUAUGUUGCGGUAGAUACACCGUGGCCGGGUAUGCCGGGCGCCCGUUUGGCAUCUCGGGAUCCUGUUCACAUCAUUCGGGGCCGUAUGUGGAGACCUCGGCUGGACUCCCUGUGGAUGGAACCUGGAUAGGCGAUAAACCUGGACUAGAGACUUAAGUGUUUAGGUAGGCCGUGGCCGACACCCUCGCUGGGCUUCCGCUUGAAGGUUGCCGAGUACAUGAUGUGUAAACGGCGGUAAGUGGUGAAAGCGUGUAUGAAGAGGUACACCCCUGCAGGGUAUAAAACUAUUCGAAUAGUUGCGUCCGCGGUAAAGGACUACUUGGUUGCCUAUACAGUUCAUAGACAAGUUAAUGGAUACUACUAAAAGACUCAAGAUAAGUGUGAGUACCGAGGAUGGCCCUCUCGUAGGAUAACGAGGGAGGAUCCCUGGUGGAGUAUUGUGUUGGUGAGUAGUGGACUCGUGUGCGAAAACUAUUUUACUAGUGGAGUUCCGUAGGAUAGCUUAGCCAAGAGUCAAAACUGGCUUGCUGCAAUAACCCCACCACCUUCUUGAGGAUGAGCAUGUAUAUUAGGUUCUGAUGUAAGACUUGCUGAGUACCUUUGUACUCAUGUUUGCUUAAUUACUGUUUUUAGACGACAACACCGCCCCCUCCGAUGGGUUCUACGUAGACCUUGACGUCGACGAGUGACUAGCCACCCAGGUGGUGAUCCUGGCCAUGGAGGUCCCUAUGUAGAUAGACAGGCUUCGAGAAGCCUUGUUUCCUUCUAGAGUCUGUACUCAGACUAGUUGCUUCCGCAUGUGCUUGUAUGAUUGUAUGACUUGAGUGUCGGGUCAUGUGACCCCUAUCUGUAUGAACAUGUUAUGUAUGGCUCUCUGGAGCCUUUAAAUAAAGUACUUGAGUUGUAGAGUUUUGUUGUGAUGCCAUGUUGUAUGUACUCAUAUCGGGCAUAUUGUGUGUAUGAUUGAAAUGCUUGGUAUGAGUGGGAUCCGACAAUCUAGUUGUUUAUCCUUGGCAGCCUUUCUUAUGGGGAAAUGUAGUCUAGUGUUCCUAGAGCCAUAGUAGUCCGCUACAGCCCGGUUCACCGGAGUCCUGCUAGCCCAGCACUACUGUUCAGGACACUUGACUGGCCGACAUGUGUUUCACUUUGUUCCUAUGUAUGUCCCUUUGGGGAAAUGUCACGCGGUGACUUCUGGAGUCCUGCCUAGCCUGCUACAGCUCGGGUUCCCCGGAGUCCUGUUAGCCCAGUGCUACAGCCCGGAAUCACUCGCUGAUGACCGACAUGCUCGAUGUGAUUCAUGUAUGCAUGUCUCCAUAGGUUUGUGCCGCUUUGGGUUCACGACUAGCCAUGUCGGCCCGGGUUCUCUGUCAUAUGGAUGCUAGCGACACUAUCAUAUAUGUGAGCCAAAAGGCGCAAACGGUCCCGGGCCAUGGUAAGGCGACACCCGUGGGAUACCGUGCGUGAGGCCGUAAAGUGAUAUGAGGUGUUACCAGCUAGAUCGGUGUGACUUGGAAUCGGGGUCCUGACAUAGUACUGCGACGGAGGAGCACGAAACACGGCAGCCCAGUGCCAUAUGGCGAUAAAAAUGAUCUAAUUUGCUAGUCAUCUCAUUGUUAGCAUUGUUCUAUUCAUUCCCUCAAAAAAACAUUGUUCUAUUCAUGCCUCGCAGAGAACGUGACACAUGCGGUGAAACACCUGAAGCAAAAGAUGAAACACAGGAGCAAAAGAAGAAGGAAGAUUAUCACCCCAAAUGAUAUAAUUCGCCGCAGAGUCGUAACUGGUUCUUCAUCGCCUCCACGACCUCCAUCUCCUUGCGCGUCUCCUCCGCCAUCUUCAUCAUUGUGUCCAUGACGCGGCAUUUCUCGACGUGAGCCUUCAUCAUCUGUUCCACGGCCAUAUUGCGUACCUUGACAGCAGCUGGGUGCUCGAUGCGGAGCUUCGCCAACUCUUCCUUCUGUUCCAUGGCGAGGGCCUGCAGCAUCUUCAUCGCAGAACUACUAUUCUCAUGCAGCUUCUUCCAGCCGGUGCUACGUCUUGAGCUUGCGUUGGUUUUCCCCGAAGAGGAAGGGAUGAUGCAGCAGAGUAGCGUAAGUAUUUUCCCUCAGUUUUUGAGAACCAAGGUAUCAAUCCAGUAGGAGCCCAUGCUCAAGUCCCUCGUACCUGCACAAAGCGAUAGCUACUCGCAACCAACACGAUUAGGGGUUGUCAAGCCCUUCAUGGUCACUUACGAGAGUGAGAUCUGAUAGACAGAAUAUUUUUGGUAUUUUUGAUAUAAAGAUGCAAAGUAAAAAUUAAAAGCAAAGUAAAUAGCAAAACAAUAUAAAAGUGAUGGAGAUUGAUAUGAUGAGAAUAGACCCGAGGGCCAUAGGUUUCACUAGUGGCUUCUCUCAAGAGCAUAAGUAUUCUAUAGUGGGUGAACAAAUUACUGUUGAGCAAUUGAUAGAAUUGAGCAUAAUUAUGAGAAUAUCUAGGCAUGAUCAUGUAUAUAGGCAUCACAUCCGUGACAAGUAGAUUGAAACGAUUCUGCAUCUACUACUAUUACUCCACUCAUCGACCGCUAUCCAGCAUGCAUCUAGAUUAUUAAGUUAAUAAGAGAGUAACGCCUUAAGCAAGAUGACAUGAUGUAGAGAGAUAAAUUCAUGCAAUAUGAAAUAAACCCCAUCUUGUUAUUCUCGAUGGCAACGAUACAAUACGUGCCUUGCCGCCCCUUCUGUCACUGGGUAAGGACACCGCAAGAUCGAACCCAAAGCUAAGCACUUCUCCCAUGGCAAGAACUACCAAUCUAGUUGGCCAAACCAAACGGAUAAUUCGAAGAGACUUGCAAAUAUAACCAAUCAUACAUAAAAGAAUUCAGAGAAGAUUCAAAUAUUAUUCAUAGAUAGACUUGAUCAUAAACCCACAAUUCAUCGGUCUCAACAAACACACCGCAAAAAGAAGAUUACAUCGAAUAGAUCUCCACGAGAGAGGGGGAGAAAUUUGUAUUGAGAUUCAAAGAGAGAGAAGAAGCCAUCUAGCUACUAACUAUGGACCCGAAGGUUUGAGGUAAACUACUCACACUUCAUCGGAGGGGCUAGGAUGAUGUAGAAGCCCUCCGUGAUGACGGCCCUCUUCCGGCGGAGCUCCGGAACAGGCCCCAAGAUGGGAUCUCGUGGAUACAGAAAGUUGCAGCGGUGGAAUUAGGUAUUUGGCUCCUCUUCUGAUCGUUUGGGGGUACGUGUGUAUAUAUAGGAGGAAGGAGUACGUCGGUGGAGCACCGAGGGGCCCAUGAGGCAGGGAGCGCGCCCUAGGGGGCGCCUCCCACCCUCGUGACCACCUCUUUGAUCCCUUGCAGUAGGGUCCAAAUCUCCUGGAUCACAUUCGGUGAGAAAAUCACGUUUCCGAAGAUUUUAUUCCGUUUGGACUCCGUUUGAUAUUCCGUUCGUCCAGAACACUGAAAUAGGCAAAAAAACA
rnacentral:lncRNA from 1 species